ACGUAUAUGGGGUCGUACUAAUUGCAACUUUGACGGUGCUGGUAGAGGCUCUUGUGAGACUGGUGAUUGUGGUGGAGUCUUGCAGUGUACCGGGUGGGGUAAACCACCAAACACCUUAGCCGAAUAUGCCUUGAACCAGUUUAACAACCUAGAUUUCUGGGACAUUUCUUUAGUUGACGGAUUUAAUAUACCGAUGACUUUUGCCCCGACCAAUCCUAGUGGAGGAAAAUGCCACUCAAUUCAAUGCACAGCCAAUAUAAAUGGUGAAUGCCCUGGUGAACUUAAAGUACCCGGAGGAUGUAACAAUCCUUGUACCACAUUCGGAGGACAACAAUAUUGUUGCACCCAAGGUCCAUGUGGUCCUACUGACUGGUCGAGAUUUUUCAAACAAAGAUGCCCUGAUGCCUAUAGCUACCCACAAGAUGAUCCUACUAGCACAUUUACUUGCCCUAGUGAUAGUACAAAUUAUAGGGUUGUUUUUUGCCCAUAAUUAAUGCCACAAUAAAGCAUAUUUUGCUACAAAUUAAAUGGUAUGAAAAAUUACCAAAAUAAUAAGUAUCUAAACUAUUUUGUGUUAGUGUGAUAAUAAUGUCUUAUGUGUGUAAUGUAUACACACUUUCUUCAACUUACAUGUUUUUGAUCAUAAUGAAUAAGAAAUAAUAUCGUUAAUUAUGUGUCGUUACUUAUUUACUUCACUUUAACAUUUUCUUGCCUUUUUUUGUUGGUUGAAUUUGAAACUAACUAAUGAAUUACUUGUACGUCAAUUAGUCACUUACCGAUUUUUCAUUUAUAAACAUGCUAAAUCGACGAUCAAUAAUAUGUUUUUAUCAAUUUUCAAUUAAUUGCCUAUUGAUCCUUAAUAGUUUUUAUUAAUAUAAUAUUUAUUUUAAAAUACUAUCGAUACCAGUUGAAAAAAAAUCAUGAGUACAGUAUAGCUGGUGAGUGGUGAGUGGUGAGUAGAACCUCAUCAACUCAACAACUUCAGAACAAAAACAUCAGCACCAAGACAUUAAUUAUAAAAGGCAAAAGAAAAUAGGUUUUGUAUUUAAAAUAUAAAGUAAUUAUUAUAUAAUUAGGAAUAAAAAAAAGUAGUUUUAAUAUAAUUUUAUUAGGUUAUUACUUUAGUUUAACCAUUAACUAAAGUUUUAUAAUUAGAAACCGAACUGAUAUCCUAAUAAAUUUGUUUACAAAAUCAUUUAAGAACUGUUAACUCAAUAACCCAAAAUUAAUAAACCAAUAGAGUAACAUUUUUUUUUAAUUCAAUUUUUAUCGGUUAAAUCUAUUUUACACACACCUAAAUAUGGACUAGUUGAAAAUAAGUUAGGCAACAAAAAAAUAAUUUUUUUUUACCCUCUUUCCUAUCUUAUGUUAAGCACCAUUUGUUCUUAGUAAGUCUUAUUCUCGUAUAAAAGAUUAUAACUGUUACAAAAUUUUAUAAAUAGGUGGCAACCCAUCUUAAUUUUGAGAAUAGACGAAAUUAUUUUGUUUUGAUUCUUCUUUAUGGGUGAUCUGAGAAUUUUUCUAUUAUUCUUCCAAAUGAAAUUUCAAUAUUAAACAGACAUAUCAAUAAAAAUCUAGACACAGAAGUAUUAGUUAAAAUAGGAUAUGAGUAAGAUUUUUGUUGUGCUUUCACAAUUUUCCAUUUGAUGCGAUGUGUCAUAAUUAAAAAAAUUAAAGGUUGAGAUUUAAUUACCUAAAUUAAAGUCCUAAUCAUGAUUAAAAUAACAAAUAAUUAUUUUAUUUUCUUUUUAAAAAUAUCAAAUCCAUAUUUCUAGUUAAAAAUUAUUUCAGAAGUCAUUUAAAACAAUCACUAUUUUCCAUUUGAUGCAGGCUCUUUUUUUUAAAAAAAAGAUAUUUUUCUUGUCCUCUUUUUUGGUCAUGCAGGAGUUCUUUAAUUUUUUCCUGUUCUUCUUUACAUUUCCAUCAAACAUUAGAGAAAUAGUCAUCUAAUGCUUAGGCCUUUCGGGAAACCGUUAGAAAACUAAUCAAUAUAUAAUGUUAAAAUUUAAAAAGAAUAUUUACAAUUUUUAUUUUUAAAAAAAAGAAUGGAUGAUGUUUUUUUUUUCUUUCUUUCAAUAACUCAAAACUGCAAAAAAAAUAAAAAUUAGAACAAAAUAGAAAAAGACUUUUUCGUAACAAAAAAAGAAAAAAAUGUUUUUAAAAAAGAGAGAAAUUUUAGAUAUAUUUAUGAAUUGAGAUCAUUUUUAGCUAGAAUUAUGAGAUUGACAUUAAUUAGGAAAUAUUAUAAAUAAAUUAUGUUUUAUUCUAAUCCUAAUUAGGACCUUAAUUUAGGUAAUUAAAUCUCAACCUUUAAUUUUUAAUUUAUGACACAUGGCUUUCAUCCGAGUAGAAACUUAGGGAAAUGGAGAGAAUGAGUAAUGGAGAAGAGUCUCAUCCCAAAAGAGUUGUCACACCCCUAUAUAAACUGCCCAAUAUAUAAUUUGUAACUAUAUCAAAAAUUAAAAAAAUAUGUUCACAAACAUGGGCUACUUGACAUCUUCUUUUAUUUUCUUCUUCCUUGCUUUUGUGACUUAUACAAAUGCUGCCACUAUCGAGGUCCGAAACAACUGUCCCUACACCGUCUGGGCGGCGUUGACCCCGAUAGGCGGUGGCCGACGUCUGAAUCGAGGCCAAACUUGGGUCAUCAAUGCGCCAAGGGGCACUAAGAUGGCACGAAUAUGGGGUCAUACUAAUUGCAACUUCAAUGGUGCUGGUAGAGGUUCUUUCUAGACCGGAGAUUGUGGUGGGGUCCUACACUAUACCGGGUGGGGUAAACCCCCAAACACCCUAGCUGAAUAUGCUUUGGACCAAUUCAACAACCUAGAUUUCUGGGACAUUUCUUUGGUUGACGGAUUCAAUAUACCAAUGACUUUCGCCCCAACCAAUCCUAUUGGAGGAAAAUGCCACGUACGCAAUUCAUUGCACGACUAAUAUAAACGGUGAAUGUCCUGGUCCACUUAGAGUACCCGGAGGAUGCAACAACCCUUGUACCACGUUUGGUGGACAACAAUAUUGUUGUACCCAGGGUCCAUGUGGUCCUACAAAUUUCUCAAGAUUUUUCAAACAGAGGUGCCCUAAUGCGUAUAGCUACCCACAAGAUGAUCCUACUAGCACAUUCACUUGCCCAAGUGGUAGUACAAAUUACAGGGUUGUUUUUUGCCCAUAAUUAAUGCCACAAUAAAGCACAUUUUGCAACAAAUGGUAUGAAAAAAUCACCAAAAUAAUAAGUAUCUUAAAAGGUUUGCUAAACUAUGUUGCCUUAAUGUGAUAAUAAUCUCCUAUGUGUGUAAUGUAUAUCUCCCUUCAACUAAUAUAGUUUUAUCAUAAUGAAUAAAUAAUUAUAUCGUUAAUUAUUACUUUUACGUCAAUGACCUGGUUAACACAUGCCUAGUGCUAGCAAAUUGGCAGGUUUGUAACUCGGGUAUGGUCGAGGUGUUUAUUGGUUGGUUCGAUUCGAUUUUGUCUAUUAUUAUUAUUAUUAUUUAAUUUCUUAAUUUUUGGUUUAUAACACGCUAAAUUGAUAACCAAACAUUAACCAAUAAGAUGUUCAUUAUCAAUUUUCAAUUGAUCGGCUAUUAAUCCUUAACAGUUUGAUUUUCGAUUUAACCUGUGCUCCUCUAAUUUUAUUUUAUUUUUUGCUUUCUCUAUUUUAUUUUGUUCAUAUACACAUCUUCAUGCAUGCAUACAAAUCCACACAAAUUACAAAUAUAAGCAAAUUCAAAUAUGUUAUUGCUAAAAUAAACUUAUUUUCUUUCUUGCUAAGUAGCAAACAUGAAUGUAGAAUUUUCCUAUUAUUUUUCUAACUAACAUUUCAAUAUAAAGCAAACUUUAGUCUCAAGAAAAUCUAGACUUAUAGUAGUAUUCGUUAUAAUUAAAAUAGGAUAAGAUCAUUUCAUAUGAUGACUUUUCUCUAUUACUCCUUCAAUAUGAUGUCUAACACUUUAACAAAUAUAUAAGUGGGCAGUGGCUAGUAAAUUUCUCCCUUAUAGAAUUCCUUACUAUCAUUCCAUCCAUUUAAUUCUUUAAUAUAUUGAAAGAGUCACAAUUUCCCACAAUUUAUGUAGUGGAAGUUUUAAGAUAAUAUAUUUUUCUUACAAAGAUUUAAGAGACUUGGCUAAGUUUAUAAGUUGUUUAAAUGGUUUUAUAAGUAUCUUUUAACUUUAUUUGCGCAAUAUAUGAUAACAUCCAAAGUACUUAUUUUAUAAGCCAUUUAUGUUUGACAAUUUUUCUUUUACUAUUUUAUCCUUUAAAAUUAAAAAUACCAAUUUGCUACUUCCACUAUCACUAUGAUCAUAUAUUUUCUACUCCAAUACCUAUUUUUUUUUAACCACAUUGCCCCAAAAUUCUUCUCUAUAAAUACCAAUUUUAUCUCAUCACACAAAACACAUAAAAAGGCUAAGUAACCAUUUUCAUUUUUUUUUAAAUGUUCAUUUUCAAGUCCAUGUUUAUUUUUCCUCUUGUUCUCUUUGUUCAUUUUCUCCUCUUCACUCACUCUAACUAACGCAGCUAUAUUCGAAAUUCGAAACAAUUGUCCUUACACUGUUUGGGCCGCAUAUGUGCCAGUGGGUGGUGGUGUCCAGCUCAACCCUAACUCCAAUUGGACAAUCUAUGUUCCACCUGUCACGUCAUGAGCCCGUGUUUGGGCCCGAACCGGUUGCAAUUUCGAUGAUUCGGGCCGUGGUAAGUGUCAGACUGGAGAUUGCAAUGAUCUACUCCAUUGUGAAUCUUAUGGGCUACCACCAAACCCUUUGGCUGAAUAUUCCCUAAAUCAAGACAACAAUCUUGAUUUUUUUCGAUGUCUCUUUUAUCGCUAGAUUCAACGUGCCAAUAAAAUUUAUCCCUAUAUCGAAUGGGUGCACCCGUGGCAUUAGGUGUAGUGUGGAUAUUAACAUGAUAUGUCCAUGUGUGCUAAAAAUUCGCGGAGGAUGUAACAAUUCUUGUACGGUUUUUAAGACCGAUCAAUAUUGUUGUUAUUCUGAUAAAUGUGGUCCAACAAUAUAUUCAAGUGUUUUUAAGGAGAGGUGUUAUGAUGCUUAUAGUUACCCUAAGGAUGAUAAAACUAGCAUUUUUACUUGUCCUGGAGGAACUAAUUAUAAAGUUGUUUUUUGCCCAUGAACUUUCCAAGAAAUAAUAUUUUGGUUGCUAACAAUGGUAUGAAAAAUUACCAAAAUAAUAUUGAUAAUAAGUUUGUAUAUAUGCUUGUGGAAUAUAUACACACCCUUCAAGUUAAAUGUUUUUAUAAUGAAAUAUAAUAUACGGUCAGUCUUGUUGGUUCUUUACAUAUAGUUUUGAUGUAACAAGUAUAUUUCGAUUCAUCCUAUAGUUUAUCGUUUGUCAUUUAUGCAUUAGUUUAAUUCUUCUCUAUAUCCCAGAAGAAAUUAAAUGAGUUGAACAAAGAUAAUAGCCUUUUCAGAUAUUCUAUAUGUAUAAAUAAAGAUUAUUUCUUAUAAGCAAAUUAUAAAAGGCUAGAAAAUCAUUUCUCCCAAUUAAUAAGUAGAUGUAAAUCUCUCGAUAUAACUUGUUAAAUACGAUAACUAACAUACACACUAUUAUAGAUCAAACAAAUUUACACCUUCCCUAGACUAUAUUUGUGAGAUUUCACUGAUAUAUAUAUAGUAGUAGAAGUAAGUAUAACAAAAAUUAAGUCACAUUUAUUUAUCACCAAAUAUGGUGGAAACAUUAACUAUAUUACUGCUCCAAUUUAUUUUUCUGGAGGCUAUAUACAUAUAUAUAACAUCAAUUAAUUUUGUUUAACCAACUUUGGGAAUUUGUACAACAAAGUCCAAUAUAUUAACAAAAAGACGAACUCUAUUGCAUCUCAAAUCUUCUGUAAAAGCAGAACCAUUCAGUAGAGUUUCAACAUUUGUUAAUUUUGGAUUUUCCUUCUGAAUUAUUUGCUUUGCAAACUUAGCUGGUGUUCCAAGAAGUUCUGGCCACCUUUCCUUUGUCACACCUAUAAUUUACAAAAAUACAACUAAUUAAUUAAAGACCAUAUUUAUAUAUUAUGUCAUUGUCGAUUGAUUAAAAGUUCUAUAAAUCAAAAGUUACUUUAUACGAGGAAAAAAUCAACAAUUAGGGUGUGUUUGGUACGAAGGAAAAUGUUUUCUAGAAAAUAUUUUUUAUAUUUUGUUAGAGAGUAGGAAAAUAGUUUCUGACUCGGAAAUCAAUUCCAAUAAUCGAUCCAGGACUAGAUCUCGACACGCGAUAGGACAUAAUCUGACGACAGAUUCGGAAUCCGAGCAUGAGAUUUAACCUAAGACCUGACCCUGACUCCCAACCCAAGACACGACAUUUGAAUUGGGACCCUGACCUCAACCCCGACAGUCGAACCUAUAGGCACGACCCCGAUAAUCAACCUGAGAUUCGAUCCUGACAUUCGUUCAAAUUUAGUUGGGCCUCAUACGAAUAUCAAACACCGAACGAAAAAAAAAGAAAUGAAGAUGAUAGAGUAAAAACCAAACCUGGACAAAAUGAUUGAGACAAAUCAUGUAGUUGUAAGACAUUUAAGCCAUCACUAACUUCGAUUUCCAAAUCUCGAGCAGUGAGUGAUUGAAAGCCUGUUCAUAAAUAAUUUUACAUAAUUAAUUACGUUUUUUUUUAAUAAAUAAAAAUAAUAUAUGUGAAGAAAUUAAAUAAAGUAUAAAUAAAUGGUCAAUUAAUUACAUGAUGCAAGAAUUAUCAAGAAAGCAACCAACUUCACCAUAGACUUAUUUGCCUCCAUUUAAUUCUGCAAUUUCUUUAAAGAAUCUAAGUUUAUAUUUGUGUUGUUAGAUGCAUUUAGUUUUAGAGGUAUAUAUAGAUAUUUUUUAACUAAAUUAUACAUGAUUCACUUGUUUCUCUAAAAGCAGCCAUACUAACGUUAUUUUAAUGUGGAUCGACGAUAAGCUUGAUGACUUGUCGAUCAAUUCCUCCCAAUUUAUUUUAAUUAGUAAAUGUAUCCAUGCUCCGAUCGUAAAAAUAAAUAAAAUAUGAUAUUAAAUAUUUAUUGACUUUUGCAUCAAUAGGGGUUCUUUUAAUAGAUAUUUGCACUAAAAGUUGUGACUCCAAUCCAGACUUAGAAUAAUCAAACACUUGUCACGAAUUACAUAGACUUCCCCAUCAGACAGAAUAGUUGUGAUUUUAAAAUUAGAAUGAUUUGUAUAUUUCACAUUGAUCUAACAAAUGAUCCAAACGAGUAAUAUGAAAAAAAACUAUUUUUUACUUUCAAUUUUCAUGAUUUUUUAUGUUCAAACGCGUACCUAGAAGGCUAGAACGAUAAAAGUAAAAAUGGGCAUAGUAUGCAAGAAACUUUGGCCACGAAAAAUCUGAAAAUAGCUGCUUUUUAAUAUUUAGUUUUAAGAAAAGUUCCGUCACGUUACAGAGUUUAUAUGUCAAAGUUAUCACCAAAUAAAGUUAACUUGUAACUAUAGGCUAUAUUCAUAAAAUAAUUAAUUAUUAGGCGGCUCUUAUACAUUUUUCCACAUCAACGUUUACCAAAUCAUAUUGUAAUAUAUUUCGUUUAUAAUUAGUCAAAGUAUGAUAUUGUUAUAUAAUACGAUUAAUAUCCAUAGUGCCAAAAGCCGCCAUAUCCCUAUAUAUAAAGUACCAAAAAUAAUUUGUCCACAUAUAAAUUUCAACAAACAUGGGCUACUUGAGAUCUUCUUUUGUUUUCUCCCUUCUUGCUUUUGUGACUUUCACUUAUGCUGUCACUAUCGAGGUACGCAACAACUGUCCAUACAUCGUCUGGGCGGCAUCGACCCCGAUAGGCGGUGGCCGACGUCUCGAUCGAGGCCAAACGUGGGUUAUUGAUGCGCCUAGGGGCACUACGAUGGCACGUAUAUGGGGUCGUACUGGAUGUAACUUCGAUGGUGCUGGUAGAGGUUCGUGCAUGACUGGUGAUUGUGGUGGUGUCCUGCAGUGCACCGGGUGGGGCAAACCACCAAACACCCUAGCUGAGUACGCCUUGGACCAGUUCAGCAACUUAGAUUUCUGGGACAUUUCUUUAGUUGAUGGAUUUAAUAUACCGAUGACUUUUGCCCCGACUAAUCCAAGUGGAGGGAAAUGCCAUGCAAUUCAAUGCACGGCAAAUAUAAACGGUGAAUGUCCUGGUCAACUUAAAGUACCCGGAGGAUGUAACAAUCCUUGUACCACGUUUGGAGGACAACAAUAUUGUUGCACCCAAGGUCCAUGUGGUCCUACGUUCUUUUCCAAUUUUUUCAAACAAAGAUGUCCUGAUGCGUAUAGCUACCCACAAGAUGAUCCUACUAGCACAUUUACUUGUCCUAGUGGUAGUACAAACUAUAGGGUUGUCUUUUGUCCUAAUGGUGUUGCUGGCCCAAAUUUCCCCUUGGAGAUGCGUGCAAGUACUGAUGAAGUGGCCAAGUAAAUGAGAAAUUUUGCUCUCUUAUACAAUUUAAACGGAAGAUAAUAGCCUUUUCAGAUUUUCUAUAUGUAAAAAUAAAGAUUAUUUCUUAUAAGCAAGUUAUAAAAGGCUAGAAAGUCAUUGAUAACAAGUUUGUGUAUAUGCGUGUGGAGUAUAUAUAUAUAUACCCUUCAACUUAAAUGUUUUUAUAAUGAAAUAUGAUAUAAGGUCAGUCUAAUUGGUUCUUUACACGUAGUUUUGAUGUAUCGACUAUAUUUCGAUUCAUCCUAUAGUUUAUCGUUUGUCAUUUAUGCUUUAAUUUAAUUCUUCUCUAUAUCCCAGAAGAAAUUAAAUGAGUUGAACGAAAGAUAAUAGCUUUUUCAGAUAUUCUAUAGUAAUAAUAAAGAUUAUUUCUUAUAAGCAAAUUAUAAAAGGCUAGAAAAUCAUUUCUCCUAAAUAAUAAGUAGAUGUAAAUCUCUCGAUAUAACUUGUUAAAUAUUAUAACUAAUAUACACGUACACUAUUAUAGAUUAAAAUGUAUUCAUUUGGUAAUCAAACAAGUUUACGUUAUAAUUGAGGUAAGGUUACGUACACAUCACUUUCCACAGACUCCAGUACUUGUGAGAUUUCAAUGAUUAUUGUUGUUGUAGUAGUAUAUGUAUAACAAAUGAAAAAUCAUAUUAUUAUUAAAAGCCACAUUUAUUUAUCACCAAAUAUAGUGGAAACAUUAACCAUAUUACAGCUCCAAUUUAUUUUUCUGGAGGGUAGGUACAUAACAUGAAUUAAUUUUGUUUAACCAACUUUGGGAGUUUGUACAACAAUGUCCAAUAAAUUAACAAAAAGACGAACUCUAUUGCAUCUCAAAUCUUCUGUAAAAGCAGAACCAUUCAGUAGAGUUUCAACAUUUGUUAAUUUUGGAUUUUCCUUCUGAAUUAUUAGCUUUGCAAACUUAGCUGGUGUUCCAAGAAGUUCUGGCCACGUUUCCUUUGUAACACCUAUAAUUAAUAAAAAUACAAGUAAUUAAUUAAUGUGUGUGUGAGAGAAAUAUUUAUUGUGGUGGAAAGAAUCAUAAAUAUUAAUAUGCACAAUUAUAUAUAUACAAAUGAUAAACUGUCCCCGGCUUAAUGUAUGACGAGUGUGUAUAUUUGUUCAAUUUUAUAUAGAGUUUUAGUGAUUAUUUGUAUACAUUCAAAGUUGAAUGGCAUAUAUGUCAGUUAAGGCUAAGUUAAAGAGCACAUUUAUACAUCAUGUCAGUAUCGAUUGAUUAAAAGUUCUAUAAAUCAAAAGUUACUUUAUAUCAGAAAAAAAAAACAAUUAGACUUCAACAAUAAUCAGGAGAUGAAAGACCAACAAGAAUUGUGAUUGGUGGAGUGUUAAGUAUAUAUGAAUCUUAAUUUAUAUAUCUUUAAUCAAAUGUAUUAGGUUCGAGUCCCCUGAAUAUAGAUUCGUCAAUUGUUAGAAAAUAUUUUAUUUCUCGAUGUGAAUUCAAAUUUAGUCAGACCUCAUACGAAUAUCAAACAACGAAUCAAAAAAAGAAGAAGAAGAUAGAGUAAAAGCCAAACCUGGACAAAAUGAUUGAGAGACAUCAUGUAGUUGCAAGACAUUUAAGCCAUCACUAACUUCGAUUUCCAAAUCUUGAGCAGUGAGAGAUUGAAAGCCUGUUCAUAAAUAAUUUUACAUAAUUAAUUAUUUUUUUUAAUAAAUAAAAAUAUAUAUUUAAAAUAGAAAGAAAUGGUCAAUUAAUUACAUGAUGCAAGAAUUAUCAAGAAAGCAACCAACUUCACCAUAGACUUAUUUGCCUCCAUUUAAUUCUGCAAUUUCUUUAAAGAAUCUAAGUUUAUAUUUGUGUUGUUAGAUGCAUUUAGUUUUAGAGGUAUAGAUAGAUAUUUAUAGGAGAUAUCUUUUAACUUCAACUGUACAUGAUCCACUUGUUUAUCUAAAAGCAGCCAUACUAACGUUAUUUUAAUGUGGAUCGACGAUAAGCUUGAUGACUUGUCAAUCAAUUCCUCCCAAUUUAUUUAUUGAUUUUUGCAUCAAUAGGGGUUCUUUUAAUAGAUACUUGCAUUAAAAAGUUGUGGUCCAACAAAUGAUCUGUUACAUCAAAAUCGUGUUGAUUUGUAUAUUUCAUGUUAUUCUAGCAAAUGAUCCAUACUACGAGUAAUAUGAAGAAAAUAUAACUAAUUUUACUUUCAAUUUUUAUGUUCAAACGCGUACUAAACACGAUAAAAGUUAAAAAUGAGCAUAGAUAAGUAUGGAACAAACUUUGGUCACGAAAGAUAUUGAAAUGACUGUUUUUUUUUUUUUAAUUUAGUUUUAGGAAAAAGUUCCGUCACGUUACAGAGUUCAUAAAAUAAUUAAUUAUUAGGCGGCUUCUUAUAUAUUUUCCACCUCAACCUUUACCAACGCAUAUUUUAAUAUUAUUCGUUUAUAAUUAGUCAAAGUAUGAUAUUGUGUUAUAUAUGAUUAAUAAAAAUCCAUAGUGCCAAAAGCCGCCAUACCCCUAUAUAAAGUACCAAAAAAUAAUUUGUCCUCAUAUAUAAAUUUCAACAAAUUAACAUGGGCUACUUGAGAUCUUCUUUUAUUUUCUCCCUUCUUGCUUUUGUGACUUACACUUAUGCUGCCACUAUCGAGGUACGCAACAACUGUCCAUACACCGUGUGGGCAGCAUCGACCCCGAUAGGCGGUGGUCGACGUCUCAAUAAGGGCCAAACAUGGGUCAUCAAUGCUCCAAGGGGAACAAAGAUGGCACGUAUAUGGGGUCGUACUGGUUGUAACUUCAAUGCUGCAGGCAGGGGUUCGUGUCAGACUGGUGAUUGUGGUGGAGUCUUGCAGUGUACCGGGUGGGGCAAGCCCCCAAACACCUUGGCUGAAUAUGCCUUGGAUCAGUUUAGCAACCUAGAUUUCUGGGAUAUUUCUUUAGUUGACGGAUUCAAUAUUCCAAUGACUUUUGCCCCUACCAAACCUAGUGCUGGGAAAUGCCAUGCAAUCCAUUGCACGGCCAAUAUAAAUGGUGAAUGUCCUCGCGCCCUUAAGGUACCUGGAGGAUGUAACAAUCCUUGUACCACGUUUGGAGGACAACAAUAUUGUUGCACCCAAGGUCCAUGUGGUCCUACAGAGUUGUCCAAAUUUUUCAAGAAAAGAUGCCCCGAUGCUUAUAGCUACCCACAAGAUGAUCCUACUAGCACAUUUACUUGUCCUGGAGGUAGUACAAACUAUAAGGUUGUCUUUUGUCCCAAUGGCGUUGCUGAUCCAAAUUUCCCCUUGGAGAUGCCUGCAAGUACUGAUGAAGUGGCCAAGUAAAUUUGAGUCUCUUUCUUUAAAAUUACUUCAAGUGGUCGAGUGAUCUCUGGUGUAAUGAAAAAUCUUAAUAGCCCAGUUGGUUAACUAUUUAAACUUUUACUUUAUUAGUGAGAGUUUGUAAUAGACUUAAGACCUAAAUAAGAGUUACAUCCCACGUGUACUUUACUUGUUGAAGUAUAAAUCAACAGUGCAUUUGAAUUAUCGUUCUUUUUAAAAAAAUAAAAAAUAACUUUUAGUAAAGUGUUAAGACUUAGACCAAAAAACAAACAAAAAAGUAUUGAUAAUGUCCUAGCUGAACUAUGAAAAGGUGAAAUUUUAUCUUUUAAAUUUUGGUUAAUUGAAUUUAUUGCCCUGAGAAUCAUUUCGCGCUGUUAUGUAUAUGAGCCUCUUUAAAUCGGACUUAUUAUUAGUAAUUCACUACCAGAAAUCAGACUUUUUUGGUCACUAGGAGCAUAGUAAAUCGCCACUGAAUAUUUUUAGUGGCGACCAUAAUGUCACUGCAAGUAACUCCAUAACUAAUGUGAAUUAAAUUUGCGACAAAAAUCGACGAUAAAAACCACCAAAUAGAAUUUAGGUAAAUCGCCAGUGCAAUUACGCCUUUACUCUGAUUUACUCACGACAUUUAAUUAGGUCGCUACAGAGUUAAGUUUCUAGCGAACACUUAAACUAUCAUUUUUUUAAAAUUCUAUAUUUAAAUUAUUGAGAGUGUAAGAAACACCCCUAAACUAUAUCACUCAUAAGUUUGAACAAAACACCUCAAGUAAUAUGUGAUAGUGUUUGUAUUACACUCUCUUUUUUAAAAAUAAUAUAAUUGUCACGUGAAAAAAAUGUCACAAUGGCAAAAAGUUCAAAAUUAAAAGAGUGAAGUGUCAAAAAUGGGUCCUGCAGUGCCCAAUCCAAAUUUAAUCGGGAAUUUAAUGUAGGCUCCGAACACCGGGUGAAAAAUAAAAAAAAUGAACAAUGAAAUUGAGAAGCUAUCAUGGUAUUAGUUGGAGAGAGAAUGAGGAAAUUUAUCAUUUUAUCCCUUUUCCAAGAUGGGAAAUUGAAGAUUUGUGAAGUGAAUUAAUGCUUAGGGGAAAGUGUAGAUUUACUAAUUGAAGAUUUUAGAUGCAAUCAAUUGGAAUAACUUUCAUUAUUUUAUUGAUUAUGAUCCGAAAAUUUAGCCUCCAAAUAAUCGACAAAAUAAAUAAUACGGGUGAAACUUGAACACGAAAUAGAAAAUGACAUAGAUAACUAGUCUCUCCGUUUUAUAUUAGUUGAUCUUUAUACUAAAUAUAAUUGUCUCAUUUUAGUUUAUCACUUUACUAAAUCAAGUAAAGAUAAUUAUUUUUUUCUAUAUUACCCUAGCAAUUAAUUUUUUUUGAAAGUGUUUAUAUUUGUUUGUAAAAUUUUCAAGAAGUUUUUUAAGAGGUGAAUUAAUAAAAUUAUCUUCUUAUUUAUGAUUUCUUAAACACUACGCAAAAUAAAAAAUGAUCAACUAAUAUGAAACGAAAAAAAUAUGAAAGAAAUUUUGUCCAUGAAAGAAAAAUAAUGGUUACUUCUUUCAAUUAAGUUUUAAGAAAAAGUCUUGUCACGUUAUACCAAAUAAAUUUGUCUUCUAUGUUAUCCAUAUGGAUUGCAGUCAAAAUAGAUGAAAUUUCUCUAUUCUUAAUCAAUGUGAAUUUGAAUCUUUAGAAAUGAAAAAAUCUUAUUAAGAGCACUAUUAAUUUGUAAAUUUAUAUUUAAAUAGGAUAACAAACACCGAACACUGGAUAAGAAAUCGAAUAAAAAUAAUAGUUUGACUUUUAUUUUCAUAUAAAGUAAUGGAGUAAUUAGUAGGCGGCUCUUAUAUGUUGAGCCACCUCAACCUUUACUUAAACAUAUUUCAAAAUUAUUCGUUGAUUAGUCCAGUGUGAUAUUGAUAUUUGUGAUUAAAAUCCAUAGUUUCAAAAGCCGCCACACCCCUAUAUAAACUGCCCAACGAUUUGUCAAUAUAUCCAACAACUUAGAUUAAAAAAUAUAGUUCCACAAACAUGGCCUACUUGAGAUCUUCUUUUGUUUUCUUCCUCCUUGCUUUUGUGACUUACACUUAUGCUGCCACUAUCGAGGUACGCAAUAACUGUCCAUACACCGUGUGGGCGGCAUCGACCCCGAUAGGCGGUGGCCGACGUCUCGAUCGAGGCCAGACAUGGGUUAUCAAUGCGCCGAGGGGCACUAAGAUGGCACGUAUAUGGGGUCGUACUAAUUGCAACUUUGAUGGUGCUGGUAGAGGUUCAUGCCAGACUGGUGAUUGUGGUGGGGUCUUGCAGUGUACCGGGUGGGGCAAACCACCAAACACCCUGGCUGAAUACGCCUUGGACCAGUUCAGCAACCUAGAUUUCUGGGACAUUUCUUUAGUCGAUGGAUUUAAUAUUCCGAUGACUUUUGCCCCAACCAAUCCUAGUGGAGGGAAAUGCCACGCAAUUCAUUGCACGGCUAAUAUAAAUGGUGAAUGUCCUGGUUCACUUAGGGUACCUGGAGGAUGUAACAAUCCUUGUACCACGUUCGGAGGACAACAAUAUUGUUGCACCCAAGGUCCAUGUGGUCCUACUGAUUUGUCUAGAUUUUUCAAACAAAGAUGCCCUGAUGCCUAUAGCUACCCACAAGAUGAUCCUACUAGCACAUUUACUUGCCCUAGUGGUAGUACAAAUUAUAGGGUUGUCUUUUGUCCUAAUGGUGUUACUAGCCCAAAUUUCCCCUUGGAGAUGCCUUCAAGUGAUGAAGAGGCUAAGUAAAAUUGAGUCUCUUUCUUUUAAAUUGCUUGAAGUGGUCAAGUUAUAUUGGCUUGUAAUAAACCUAUUAUAUAAAACAUGAAUAAGAGUCACAUCAUCACAAAUCUGUUGUGUCGAAUAUUAUUUUAUGUUCUUCUGUGUAUAUUUUGUUGUUUACGGCAGCAGCUUGUCAAGUAAGAGAAUGAUGGCGGUCAGUUCAAGGACGUAAAGGCUAUAAUAUACCGAAUAAGAUAAAUAAAGAUAUCUCAUAAAAUUAUUUUAUCUCACUUUCUGUAUACGAUAAAAGUUCCAUCAUUUAGUAUAAAUAAUAAAAUAAAUUAAUAUCAGAAUUAACUAAUAACUCAAAACAACAUAAAAUAAAAUUAAUCCCAAUUUUUAUUCGAAAUUAUUAUCCAUAAUUUUAGGUCAAAGUCAAUAGAUAGAUAGAAAUAUUUGUUUAUAGGCGGCUCUUAGAACAUUUUCAAGUACGUACGUAACUAAACGAUGCUCUGCACGUGCUACUUGAAUUCUAUGCAGAAACUCCUCAAAAUAAGCAAAUACAUUUGACACAAAGACAAAAGAUUAAAUUAAGAAAUUUAUAUUUUUAUUAAAAAAAUAUUUUUAAAUAUAGAAAAUUCAUUAUUUUUAUCUUUAACAUGAUUUUACAUAUUUUAGAGAAUUAAAAGUGAAAUAGGUUUUAUUAACUUAUUAACUUCAUGUAAUAGAUUAACAAAUUGACUUUAUCGCACUCACAUAUAUUAAAAUGAAAUUGUGAAAAAUAAAUAUAAUAAUUUGUCGCCACCCAAAAGGCAAAAAAACAUAAUAGAACGUGACUUUACUAGCUAAUAUCAAUCUCCUAUGAAGCAACGAUUGAUUUGAACUUAACAGAAAUUGAUGGGAUGAAAUGACUAAAUAUUGUAUUAGGAUAAAAUAACAACAUUACUUUGGAAAAUAAUAUUCUUUUGUCGAUAUAGUAAGUAAUGAUCAAUAAUUAAUUAACCACCAAGCAACAUAAAAGACCCCACUCACCAAUAUCUCCAUGUACCCCCAUUUUCUUGACUUUUGAGUGUAGAUAUACAUACGUUUUUCUUUUAAUUAUCCACUUGACAUAUGACAUAUUUUUUCUAUCGUAAUGGUGGGGAGUUAAAAAGGUUACAUGAUGCGAAUUUAAUUUAUUUGGUACGCUUUUAAGGAAAAGGAAGGGUGAAAUUAUUUGAAUAUAUCUUGAUAAUGAUUUAUCAUUUUCAAAUAAAACGUGACAAAUAUUUUAGAACAGAGUGAGUAUUACUGUGUGCUAAGGACUUUGCUUCUUUUUUUCAGGAUUAGUUGCAUAAAAGUCACGGAACAUGCAUCAUGACGUGCUGAAAAUAUGCAAAGGGGCUGUGGUGGCAUGUUAGUUUUCGAUUUUUAAUAUGAUAUAUCGAGUUUGAGUCAUGAGAAUAAAAUCUCUUUUGGUUAUAAUAAGUGUUUUGCCUUCGAAGUAAGAUUUUUCAAACGCAGAUUUGAAUAUAUCAAGCCCAAUGCAGAUAUUGAAUAUCAAGGGCAUGAUUAGUAGCGGAGUAAUAAUUUUCAUUAAAGGAUUUUAAAAUAUGAAGAAGUAAACAUACGAAGAAUUCAAAGGAUCAAAGAUUCAUUAAUUAAUUAAUCACUAUAUAUAUAUUAAAAAUAAUUUUAACUAUGUAUAAAUAACGUCCGUAAUUAUUCAUGAAUUUUUUUUUAACUGAACUCCUUGCCCCUACAUGGCUCCGCCUUUGACCCUAUGCAUGAAAAUAUUCUAAAAGCCGCCUAUAAAGAUAGCUAUCCUACAGUAAUUAUCAUAGUUUAUCUUGUCCCUACAAUUUUAUAUUUUUGUUCUGAUUAUUGUAGAAUGUUAUCAACACUAUUUUUUCAUUCCUUUUCUUUCUAAGGUUUAAGACUUGAAUAAUUAGGAAUUAAAAAGACAAAAUUAAACGACUCUAAAUGCACUCUUGUGUGAAAAUUUAAAACAUCAUGUGUAAGACAAAGUACAAUAUGUUAUUCAAAUCUUAGCCACCUCAAGAUAACAAACUAAAAGAAAUGUGGAUAAUAUAAAAGACAACUAAUGACCAAAACUCAACCAUGCAAAUUGAACAAGAAAGAGGUGGCUACACUCAUGAUGAAUCUACUUAAGCAACUUCAAGAAUACUUGUAGGCAUCUCCAAUGGGAAAUUUGUUGUUUCAUUGUGAGUAGAGCCAUAAGGACAGAACAUAAUCUUGUAGUCCGUAGUCCAACUCUGACAAGUAAAAGUACUUGUUGGAUCGUCUUGAGGGUAACUAUAGGCAUCAGGACAUCUUUGUUUGAAAAAUCUUGACAAAUCAGUAGGACCACAUGGACCGUGAUUACAACAGUAUUGUUGUCCUCCGAAUGUGGUACAAGGGUUGUUACAUCCUCCAGGUACCCUAAGUGAACCAGGGCAUUCACCGUUUAUAUUGGCUGUGCAUUGAAUUCCAUGACAUUUUCCAGGUCCAGGCUUAGUUGGCCCAAAAGACAUAGGGAUGUUAAAUCCAUCAAUUACAGAAAUAUCCCAGAAAUCUAGGUUACCAAACUGGUUCAAAGCGUAUUCAGCUAAGGUGUUUGGCGGUUUACCCCAUCCUUUGCAAUCUAGGACUCCACCACAAUCACCGGUCUGGCACCCACCUCUACCAGCACCAUCAAAGUUGCAAUUAGUACGACCCCAUAUACGUGCCAUUUUAGUGCCCGGUGGGGCCCAAAACCACCAACUCUGACCUCUCUCGAGACGUCGGCCACCUCCUACGGGGACCGCCGCCGCCCAAACGGUGUAGGGGCAGUUGUUAUGGACCUCAAACACACCGGAAGCAUAAGUGUAAGUCACAAAAGCAAGAAGGAAGAACACUAAACAAGUUGUCAAAUGACUCAUUUUAGUAUAAGAAGUUGUUUGGAUAUAUUUGCAUAUCGAGCUAGGGGUUUAUAUAGUGGUAUGGCGGCUUUUUUCACUAUGGACAUUAAUCAUAUAAUAUUACUAUUAAUAUAUAUAAAGAAAUAAUCUUAAAAGGUGCUCUGCCACUUUAGUUAUAAAGGUAGAGUAUAUAUAAUUAUAUAUGUAGAAUGUACAUUAUAUAGAAAAGAAAAAUUAUUUGUAGCCAAAAUAUCUCCACUUGAAACAAAAAGCCGCCAAUACAAUAUGAGUACAGCCUAUUAUAAGCAAUAUAUUUUGUUCACUCCAGUCAUAUUUCACCGUUCAACUAUUUGCUACUUUGAAAAUUUAUCCAUAACACAUUAUGAUAUUAUUAGUUUAGUGUUUAACUAUAUAUAAAUUUAAAUUAUUUAGUUUAGUAUAAACAACGAAUGUGGGAACCAACUCACGAGAAAAUGCAUGGUGAAAAAACUAAAAUAGUGGGAAGCUUUCUAAUUAUUCCAUACGAAACAUUUACUAUUUUUUUUUCGUUUCAUACUCGAUUCAAUCAAAAUACCAGUGAGAAUAGCCACUGAAUAUUUUUCCACGAGAAAUGCAGUGGCAAAAUAGUAAUAACUUUAUAAUUACCGUAGUAGAGAAUUCUCUUCAUUCUUAAUUGGUUAUGUUUUCAUAAAUAAAUAACUUAAAAUUUUUGAAUUUGUAGUUUGUAAUUUAUUUACAGAUCACAAUUGCCUUUUUUCCCCUUGAUCUUUUUCCCGUCCUAUAUAUAUAAAAUGGAUUUUUAUAUUUAAUUAUUUAUAGCAUAUUUAUCAAGUGGACAUAAUAAUUAAUUGAAAAUGUAGUCAAAAUUGAGCAAAUGGGGUAGGCGUAGAGGUGAGUGCUGAGUGGGAUCUUAAAAGUUGAAUUUUUUUUCGACACAAGUGUCUGCUAUAGUGUGCAAGAAGCUAUAUAGAGAACUUGUUUCACACGAGAAAAAAAUAACUGAAAUGAGUUACAAACUUCGUUGUUAAUCUAGCUCAUGGAUAUCUAACAUGCAAAGUUCAUGAUAAUUUAUCGCUAAUUGGUUACUAGAUAUAGGACUAGCGAUGAUUUUUGUUAUUUAAUUACAUAAUUUGUUUGAUACUAAUUUUUGUUUUAUUUUACUUUUCCGAUUUUCCUCAUUGUCAUCAUGGUUGUCUUUGUUGUUGGUUCAUAAUAAGAGACUCUUGCGUUUAGAUGAGAUGAUUAUAUAUAUGAAUUUAAAUUCGAGCGUGCAAGAGUUUCAGGAAUUGAGUUUGUUGGUUAUUAAGCAUUUUAAUAUUAUUUUAUAUUAAAGUAGCUUUUUAUUUGUGACUUAAUGCUGCCUAACCAUUUUAUUGGUCAUGUUAAUGCCAAUUAUUCUUGGCUUUAUUGGCAGAUGUCAUAUAUCCUAUAACGUUCCUUGUGGUCAACAUCUUGGGCAGCUUUGCAUUUGCACGUUAGAGGCAUUGGUUACCCCUCUCAUUAUUCCAUUCUUAAUUCCUCCGUUAUCCUUGUAACCUACGUAACUCCUUAGAUCAUUAUCUUCACUAUUUACUACACUAUUUAUCUUUCUAUUCAUUGCUAGAAAGACUUUUUCUAGUAUAAUAGUGGUGGUCUUCAUUUGGUUUGGGACACACUACACACAAGGAAAAUAUAGAGUGCCAUAAAAGUUUUGUCAAAAAGAGAGUUCUUGUUAGUUGAAGGGAGGUGUUCUUUUUGUGGAGCUUUGGACUCAACUCUUGUCCAGAGUUGCUGAGUUAUACUUUGUGAAGGCUGUUGUAUCCUGGAGGGGACAAGUCAAGAAGGAUUACUGCUGAACCGGUGAAAAACAUUUGCUGCAGUGGACUUGAAUCUCCUUAAAGAGAGCGAGAUAUCCGCGUCUCAGCCUGAAGAGAUUUAUUUCUUCAUUUCUAUUUUUAAUUGUAAUCUUGUAUUUUUGUUAUCUCGUAAGUUUUUCACUAACAAGUUUGAUCACUUUCUACCAUCCAUUUUAAAAGAGAUGAUAACACAUUCCAAUCAACAUGAAUAAAGAACUUUAAUUAAUUCUUUUACUUUUAACAGUUUUAAUAGAACUUUUUAAAGAAAUAUUGCAAAUACAUGAGUUUUUAAGCAAAAGGUUGAAACCACAAUUGUAUUUUUUUAUGAAGGAGAACUUGGAAAUAAUUAUUAAUUGUACUAAAAGAUCAAUUAUAUUAGUCCACCUGGAGGCUGGACAGCAAUUGUGAAGAAGACAAAGAAUACGAAUAGUCAUGAAAUUACUGUUUGAUUGAUCUCCUAAUUAUUGAUGCCGAUUAUAAAAAUAAAAGUCGAUCAAUAUUCAAAUAAUGUUGAAUUUCUUAUCUAGGUGUUGAAUCGGAGUUAAAAGUGAAAGCUCUUUUUGCUAUUUCAAGUUAUGAAUUUAGAGAUCAAGAACGUCUUUUCAGAAAGAUUAGGUCAAACGAGUUAGUGAUUUUCAAAAAUCAUCUUUUGUAUUAUUGUAUAUGGACUCAUUCAUUGAUAAAUUUAUCUUAAUGUUCCGAUCUUUAAGCUUUUUAAUUAAUAUUGAAUUUAUUAUAUCUUUAAACUUAUAAAUUUAAAUCUAACAUAGAUUAAGAUUUUAGAAUGAAUUUUCAUAUACUAUAGUACACUUGAAAAUGUUCCAAAAGCCGCCAAUAAAAAAAUAUUUCCAUCUGUUUGACUUUUUUAUGACAUGUGCUCCUGAUUAGUAUAAGUAUAUUUUGUCCCUACAAUUUUAUAUUUUCAGAUCUAGGUACUUUAGAAUAUUAUCUAGACUAUUUUUUUAUUUAUUAAAAUUAGAAUUAAAAAAAGAAACAAUACUCCAAAUACACUCUUAAUUGAAAAUUAAAAUAUCAUGUGUAAGACAAAGUACAAUAUAUGAUCAAUAGAUCAAUAUUCAGAUCUUAGCCACUUCAAGCAAACAAAUGUAAAAAGAAAUGUGUAAAACAAAUUAAUUAAAGACGAUGUCCAACUUCAAUCAAAUUUAACAAAAAAGAGAUUGGUUCAACUCAAGAUUUAUACUUAAUUAAGCCACUUCAAGAGUACUUGUAGGCAUCUCCAAUGGGAAAUUUGUUGUUUCAUUGUGAGUAGAGCCAUAAGGACAAAACAUAACCUUGUAGUCUGUAGUCCAACUUUGGCAAGUAAAUGUACUUGUUGGAUCAUCUUGAGGGUAACUAUAGGCAUCGGGACAUCUUUGUUUGAAAAAUCUUGACAAAUCGGUAGGACCACAUGGACCUUGGGUGCAACAAUAUUGUUGUCCUCCGAAUGUGGUACAAGGGUUGUUACAUCCUCCGGGUACCCUAAGUGAACCAGGGCAUUCACCAUUUAUAUUGGCAACACAUUGAAUUGGAUGACAUUUUCCCGGCCCAGGGUUAGUUGGGCCGAAAGACAUAGGGAUGUUGAAUCCAUCAAUAACAGAAAUGUCCCAGAAAUCUAAGUUGCUAAAUUGAUUCAAAGCAUACUCAGCUAAGGUGUUUGGUGGUUUACCCCAUCCUUUGCAUUCUAGGACUCCACCACAAUCACCAGUCUGGCACCAACCUCUACCAGCACCAUCGAAGUUGCAAUUAGUACGACCCCAAAUACGUGCCAUUUUAGUGCCCGGUGGGGCCCAAAACCACCAACUUUGACCUCUCUCGAGACGUCGGCCACCUCCUAUGGGGGUUGCCGCCGCCCAUACGGUGUAUGGACAGUUGUUAUGGACCUCAAAUACGCCGGAAGCAUUAGUGUAAGUCACAAAGGCAAGGAGGAAGAACACUAAACAAGUUGUCAAGUGACUCAUUUUAGAAUAAGAAGAAUAUUUAUUUGUUGGAUAUAUUUACACAAUUGAGUAGGGGUUUAUAUAGGGGUGUGGCGGCUUUUUGCAAUAUGGACAAUAUUACAAAUAUACAUAUACAUAUAUAAAUAAUUUUUAGAGAUGUUUUUAAAUAAGAUAGAUCUAGGCGGCUAUAAGCAUAUACAAUUAUUAUGUACAAUGAACAUAUACAAAACCUAAUAAUUUUGUUUAGUGAUAAUAUGUCCACUUGAGAUAAUAAGUCGCAGAUAAUAUCCAUUGAAAAAAAAUAAGGAAUGCAUGAUAUUUAUAUUAUAAUACAUAUACAUAUAUUUAAUAUAAAUUAUAACAUAUAGUUGCACCCGUACCAUAUAUUCUUUUUCUCUCUUGUUCAAAUAUGUACGAUCUUAAAUUGUGUGAAAUUUUAUUUUCCUAUGUAUAUAACUUUUCGUUUUGAAAAUAAUCGUUUGAUCAAUACUCUUCGUGAUGAAAGAGGAGGCUGCAUACAAUAAUAAUAAUAAUGAGAGAAAUACACAUAUAUGAUUAUUUGACGCUGCUAUUUAACUUUUUAUCUAGUAUAUUCAAUUAUUAAAAAAAAAUCUUCACACAAGAAAUUGAAGUUCAAUUCCUAGAAAAUUAUAGUCUUACCACGACUCGUGCAUGAUGGAUUAUCAGGAUUUAAUUAAUACAAACAAUUGAAGACUUAUGUAGUUGGGCACACAUAUAUUGUCUUUUGUAACUUGUGCACACGAUAAAAUUAAAUUAAUUAGUCAACUUUAUGGCAUUACAUCAGUGAAAAACUAUUUAAGUAGGUACAAUGUUUAGAGUGUUAAUUGUUAGAUUAGUGAGUGAUAUUUAGGUUUUGAUAUCUUAAUUAUACUCCCAUUUAUAUAUCAUAGAAAUUUUCGCUGAUUGUCCCUUUUUUAAGACCAUAUUUUAGUAAAUGACUCUUUUUAUUUGUCUUGUAAUUUAUGAAUCUUUUAGACAAUAAUAUAAAAUUUUCUUUUGAAACAAACUGAAAAUCUUAUUAAAAAAAUGUUAGAUCACAUUCUAAAAUUUGUUUGUUAUAUUUCUAAGAUUUGUUUGUUAUAAAAAAUAUAUUAGAUCACAACAAGGAUAUUUUUGGAUUAAAGUAUUAAUUAUAGUGAUAUUUUUGGACAAAAAUAUUGAUAAGAUGGGCAUUUUUGAAUCAAUAUUAACGGAAGACAUUUGUUUAAUUUCACAUAGUUUAAAGAUAUUCUUUUUACCAUUUCCCAUUAAAAUAAAAGUUAAAAUGUCAAAAACACAUUUAAACUAUCUUUUUUUUAAUUCCAUGUAUUGAAAAAUUCGUCAACGUGGCUUCUUUUUUUUUUUGCCAACGCGUUCUAACUCGACUAAAUGUGUGUAUACACGUAAUACACACAACAUCACAUAUUACUUGAAGUAUGUUUCUCAAAUUUAUUAUUGAUAAUUUAAAUAUGUUUUUUAUACUCAUAAAUCAUUUAGGUGUAAAACUUAUAAAAAAAUUAGGUAUGUAUCUGAUACUUCACUCAUAAACAAUGUGAUUUUCUUUUUUCCUUUUUUGGUCUAAAAUGUGAUUUUAAAUUUGACAGAUCCAUACUUCAACCCACCCGUCCGGUUCACGUUACAGUCACCGGUCUAACCCCACCUAAAACCGGUCUCUUAUUCACGUAUAAAUACACAUCAGCUCAACAUAUUCUUCAUCGGAAAAAAAACCGAUCUCUGUCCGAAAAUUCGUGCGAUUUUUCCUGGGAAUCUGCGAGAGUUUGAUUGAAAAUGGUACGAGGAAAACUUGUAGUUCAACUUGUUGGAGCUAAAGGCCUUGAAAACACUGAUUUUCUCAGUAAGUUUUUUUCUAAUUUAUUUGUUUUGAUCUGAUCGGUUUAAUGUAUGGAUCUCUUUUCUUUCGAUUAGAUUUGAUGUUUUCGAUUGUUACUUGUGUGAUCAGAGGUUGAUCUACAUGUAAUUUAUGUGUUCACACAGCACCAGUUUGACUGAAGUAGAUUUUGAAAUUGAAACUUAAAAGAAUUUAUGUUUUACGAAAUUGUGUUUGAACGUGGAGAAGAUUUGAUUUGUUUUUAUGAGUGGAAGUAAGUUUUGGUUAAGUAGAAAAUAUUUGAAGAUCGAAUCAAAUUUCAUGGUCAAACAGAUAUUUGAAAGAUGAAUUUACUCUUAGAAGAUAUGGCCAAACGUUAUUAGUGUAUAUUAAUUUGACUUCGCGUUAGAAAUGUAUAAACUUUGAAUUUUGAAUCAACGUAUGUGAUAUACUAGUGACAUUAACAUAGGUCUAUGCCUAGUCAAACUAUGUCAAAUAAAAUAGAAUCGGAGGAGCGAUCAGUAAAAAAUCAACAUUCAUCUCGGCCAAUUUGAUUGAUACUCUGUAUUUUUUCGAUUUAAGAAAUGUUAUCUUGUGUGAUACAGAUGAUAUGGAUCCAUAUGUGAUCUUAACUUGUAGAUCUCAGGAGAAAAAGAGCACUGUUGCAUCAGGUACAUUUGUCAAUAAUCUUAGGUUAUUUUUUUCUUAAUUAUAGUUACAUAUAUAUCUUAAGAAAAAUGAAAUGAAGUUUGAUCAAUUAAUAUUUAUGAUGUUGUUAAUUUCCAUAGGGAAGGGAUGUGAACCAGAAUGGAAUGAAACAUUUGUUUUCUCCAUUUCUGAGGGUACUGAAGAACUCUUCUUGAAGAUAAUGGACAGUGAUUCUAUCGGUGAGGACGAUAUUGUUGGGGAAGCUAAGUAAGUAUAUCUAUCUAAUUAGAGGCGAAUCCAAGAUUUAUACGUGUUUUCUAUAUAUAUAAACAUAGUUUGAGUUUGAUAGUGUGGUUGUACAUGCAUUUAUGACUAAUAUAUGUUGAGAUAAUUAAGUAGACGUUUAUUGCGGUCGAGAAUUAGUGUAGAAGGUUAGUAGGUAGCUGAGCCUGAGUGUUGUUGCACUUGUUAUUGGAGAGGAAGAGGGCUAGUCUAUUCUCUACUUCUCCUUGUUAGUAGUAGUAUUUUGUAUAUCGCGUAGUUUCCUUUCCUUAAUGAUUAUUACUGCUUCAUUUGAUUUGUAUCCUGCUAUUUUGUCGUCUUAUUUCCUUGCACCUUGCUUUGAUUUUUUUUUCUUUUCUUUUGAGUUGAGGCCCAUCAUAAACAACCUUCCAACCCCGCUAUGUUCAGCGUGACAUCCUACCUUCGCAAUACCCAACUUGUGGGAUUACACUGGAUAUGUUGCUAUUAUUGUUGUUGUUGUAUACAUCAUCUACUUUCUAGUAGUGUUAUACAAACCAUGGUCUAAACGGUUGAGAUUAUUAGUUUAUGGAGUCAAAUAAACAUUUAUCUAUUAGAGACGAAUCUAAGAUUUAUACAAUAUAUACAUAAUCUGAGUUUGCUAGUAUUGUUUUUGAGCUAUAUAUUCAAUGAUAUGAUAUUUGCAGGAUACCAAUUGAACCAGUUUUAUCAGAAGGGAGCAUCCCAAUAACAUGUUAUAAUGUUGUUAAAGAUGAGGAAUAUUGUGGAGAAAUUAAAGUUGGUCUCACCUUUACCCCCGAGGCAAGUUACUUUCUCAAAUUUUAUUGAUUUAUACAAAAAAGUAAGCCUGAAUCCUGAGCAAGCAAGUUCAGAUCGACUAUAUGAAUAAAGGAACUCUAACAUGCAAGUAUAAUUGGUAUGCAAUGUGCAUGAUAUCUUUUGCUAUGUUUUGUAGGAAUCUUCUGAGAGGGAGUAUGAAGAAGAGGAGAACCUUGGUGGAUGGAAAGAGUCUUCUUAUUGAUGUGAAACAUAACUCGAUUGAUCAAUUUGUUCUUGUUUAGAUUAUGAACUUCCAAGUAUUUAUUCGUUCGUUAUAACAUUUCGGGUGUCAAAGUGUGGAUUUCAUAUAGUAAAAAGAAAAAGAAACGGGCUAUUUUGAGUCCAAAUGUGUUUCCACUUUACAGCAUGCAGUGGAAUGAAAAUGUUGGGAUUUUCUUUUCAUUUUUCAAGUUAAAUUUGAUGAUGCUUCUUUGCCAUGAUUUACAAUUUAUUUUAUCAUACACUGCAAUUUAAGGUUUAUUAUGCAGAACCACAAUAUCAAGCUGUGAGAUAACCAAGUCAAAUAUCUUGAAAUUAUUGUGAAGAAAUCACUCUUAACUUUGUCCAUAACGCUCUUUAUUUUUUCUCGUUUUCAAAACAUAUGAUGGUGUUCGAGCCAACUCACCUAGACUAUUUCACCUAAAGAAUAGAUAGAUGAGUUUUUUGUACCUACUGGAAUAUGAACCUUGGUCUCAAAAAGUUGCAGACUAGUGUACUCUAUUUGAGUGCUCUUUUCAUAAAUAAGUAACCUGUUUGAAGAAGUAUUUUUUGAUGCAUCCACAGUUGUAAUGCUUUAACAGUCCAGUUAUAGAGGCAGAGAGAAAACAGAGACGAAUUUACGUGUUAUAAUAGCUUAGAGAUCCAACCUUAAUUAUGCAGAAUACAUAUAGCAAACAAUUGUCUUUCUGAAAUAGAUCGUCUAAACUCCAACGGAUUGUGGGAUCUAAGCAUUCCGAAAGUUAAAGCUACAUUUCGACCAGCUAUCUGGUUCGAAUAAACCAAAUUUAUCUGUAACCUCCAGACAAUUGAUGAAGCAUCACCUGUGGUCAAGCUUCAACCAAUUAUAGAUACCCCAAACUCCAGAAACCGCAUCAGAAAAUGUUACAACCAGAGGAUAUAGCUGCAUAAAAAUGCAUUCACAGGAGCAGCAUCGUGUUAUUAGUUGAUCCAUCAAUACACCUAACACUUCUCCUCUCUCUAUGUGCUCUCAUUCACCUGUGAGAUUUAAAUUUAGAUUGAUAGUCCUUUGCCUGGGGAUUCAGACCUGGAUUUUGAGAAACAAUACUACUGCAACCUGGUAUGCUGUUAUUCCCAUUGGGCAAAAAGGUCAAACCUGGAUUUUGAGAAACAACACUACUGUGACCUGGUAUGCUAUUAUUUCCAGUAGGCAAAAAGGUUUGAUUUAGUGCCGGUUGCUCUUUGACAACGUGCUCCUCCGAUGGAGCACAGUGGUUUGGAGCAUCAUUCAAGUAAAAACUGGAAGUGUUGAAUAAUGGCAGUUCAAAGCACCCAUCAUCAGCCUGGGUGUAGGAAGUAUUGUAUUCUUGAUGGGUAGAUCCCUGAAAGGCCAGGGUAUCUUCUACUGGUAGUGCACCUGUAAGGGUCUUGAAUGCAAAUUCCAUGCAUGGGUCUGACCAAUAGUCCCCAAAUGGAUAAGAAGCUAGUUGCGCAUGCAAUCUUCUGUUCUGCUCAUCUUGAUUCUCAGUUACCAGCUCUCCUGUUUGCUUUUCUUUAACAGGCUGGCUUUCAACAUUAAGAUCCAGAUUUCUGUGUGAUGAUUCAGGUAGUUGUGAAUCUUGCCACUGCUGGUUUUCCACAUUAAGAUCCACACUUCUCUGUGAUGGAGCUACUUGUGAAUCUUGCCAUUGUUGGUUUUCCAUAUUAAGAUCCACAAAUCUAUGUGAUGGAGCUAGUUGUACAUCUUGCCAUUGCUGGUUUUCCACAUUAAGAUCCACACUUCUCCAUGAUGGUUCAGCUAGUUGUGAAUAUUGCCAUUGCUCGUACUCACCAUUUCGUUUUUCACUGACCUGUUCUACGGUAGACCUUUCUGAGACAGACCGGUCCUCUGCAGGGAAUACCCUUCUUCCUGAUGCUGAUUCAGCUAAUUGAGAAUUGUUCAAUAAUCUAUUCUGACCGUCUUGUUCUUCUUUUGCCAGCUUUGCUGUAGGCCUUUCGUUAAGCGCAUGCUGUUCCAAGUGAACCUUUCCUCUUUCAUAUGAUAUUCCAGCUGGCUGAGAAUCUUGCAAUAUUCUCUCAUCAUUUUGCUCGUUAAACGCUUGGCCCUCUGAGAGACACUUCACAACUUUUAAAGGAUCAUUUCGUGAUGAAGCUUUUCUGCUUAGAGAGGGCUGAUCAGAAUCACCAGUUGCUAGAUCAGUUUGCUGGGCCGAUUCCCCACCAGAGACAUUCAUGGGAAGGCCUGACAAGGCUGAAUUGUUAACCACAGUUUGAAGAACACGUUCACCUAGAUUUAAAUCAGUCACCAUUUCUGGGUUGUGGCGUGAAAGUCUCUUUGAGACACGACGAACUGGAGUAGAUGACUUACUAUUUCUGAAUUUUCUCAACCUUGCUGGCUGCUUUUCCUUCUCAUUUUCUGGUAAUUGCUGCUCUGGGAGGAAGUCCAACUGGGGGGAAACAACUAAUGACCUUCUAACAUCAACAGUUUCAGCAGCUGCAGCUUUUGUGUCUCCAACUGAGUCUCUUAUUUCUGGUUCCACGUCUAGUCUUAUUUCGGUAUCUUCAUUUACAUUUUCAUAUGAAUGUUUUUCUGUUAUAUCAGCUACAAUAGAAGAAAUACUGGUGUUGAGGUUGAACAUACUGCUUUUAGAAUGUUCACUGGAAUUCUCAGCUUGCAGUGCCAUUGAACAAGUAACAUAACACUUACUACCUGCAUCAGCAACUCCCAUUUCAGAAUUGAGAAUAACAAUCAACAUGUAGAGAAUUCAGCAGGACAUAUAUCAAUGACAAGACUAAAUUGGAGGAAUUGAAAUGACUGUCGAUACUGAAUAAUGUUGUAUCUCCAAUCAGAAUUGGAGUUUGAGCAAAAUUCCCACUAAAAUGCAUCACCUUUUGAUUCAUCAGUGGCAGAAAGUUGUAUUCCGGCCAAAGAGCACCUUAAUUUCUUCGAACUGGUGUCAUGUGUUGAGGGCUGUCAAAAGAAAGAAGCUUUCAAUCAUCAGAACUUCCUCCCUUUCAAGAUAAAUCAACACACUUGUAUUGAGAAAUUAAAAAAGACCUUGCCGAACUCAAAUCUUGUCAUGAACAGUGAAAUGCAUAAAGGAUUUGUGACAACAGUCCUCUAUUGAACCAAAUAAGGGCUAAUCAAGAAUUAAGUGAAGGAAUUUCCAGAUUAUUUUGUCAGAUAGGAACAGAAAGUAAAGAGAUGACGUGAAAUGUUAAUUUAAUGCAAAACGCCACAUAAAAGAUUUUCCUCCUCGUUUAAGAACUCGCAAGGAAAAAAAAACUUGUAAAAUGGUGGUUGAAAUCUCGAAAUCAUGAAGGUAUUGAGUCAUUCUUCUAACUUUCCAUAGCAACGUUUUGCAGCUAUAGUUUAUAAAGAUAUUCCUCAUUUAAUGAACUUAUGAAAACAGGGAUAAAGCUCAGAACUGUGGUCCAGAUCUGGGUAUUAUAAGGUAAGAGUCAUUCCUCUUACCCUUCUAUGGCAUAGUCUUUACCUGUAGUUUCGUAUAAGCUAUUCUUUUUACAUAUCUAAUUCGAAUAGAAUGAUGUGGAAUUAUUCUAUUUGAGCUUGGGAGUUAUUGCUUUCCAAUAUAUCUUCUCUACGAGUAUUCUCUAAAGCAGUUGUUCAGUCUCAGACCAAGCAAACCCGUUUAAGAAGAGGUGCUUCAACACCUCCAAUACAUGAAACAAAGUUUUACACAAGACACCAACUUUACCACUGUUCUUACAGAAACAAAUAUAUCUUCCUAGUAAAAGGUUCAUACAAAUACGACCAACAAGAUUAUUACGCAAGCUGAAAUCAGUAACAUGGAUAACAGGAGUUAUCGAACAUAUAGCACAAAUAGAUUUGAUGGGGAACACGGGUGAGAGAUCCAGAAGGUGCAGACUUACAGAACUAUCCUUCAUUGUUGAACCCGGAUCCCUUUUGGUAGGCUUCACAGCACAACUUCUGAUGUCUCCAGUUUGCAGAUAGCGCAUAACAUCCUUUUUGGAACGAAAUACAUAUCCAAGCACUGGAUCCAUGUAAUACUGCAAUGUCCAAGUAAAUUUAAAAUUCUCACUGCAAAAUACUAAUGCAGCAUUCCAUGUCUGCCACAUAAGCAGCUAUAUAACCCUUCUCCAGAAGCAACCUUUCUCAUGCAUAUAUCCCAUAUCUGCAUAAGAUCAUCUCCAACCAAACACCAAAUUUUACACCAAAUCCUAUUUUGAUGUAAAAUUUGGUGUUUUAGUGCUCCAACCCAACACCAAUUCUUACACUAUUUUAGUGUGUGAAUAGUGUUACACCAAAUUUGGUGCAACACUAUUCAUCAACACCAAAUCUCUUUUUGAUUAUUUUAUUAUUAUUUGUACUAUAAAAAUUUUUUGAAAAUAUAAAUUAUAAUAAAAUAAUAAUAAAAAUUUGAAGAGAGAGAAGAUUAUAAAGAGUAUAUUCUUUUUAGUGGAAAAUUUAGUGUAGUGGGUUGGAGAUGGUUUACACUAAAAUAGUGUCAACACUAUUUGUUAUGGGUUGGAGAUGCCCUAAUGGUGUAAACCAGACUCUUUUUUUUAUGAAUUAGUAUGUGUAAAAUAGACUCUACUUGAGUAGGAUGGUGUGCAUGAGAAAAGAAGGGAGAGAGAAGUGCACAGGGGGAGAGGGAAGACAGAAAUGCUGAGGAAGCAAGAGAAUACCGGGUCCUUUUUUAUCACACGAGCAUUUUUUCUCAUUCUGAAUUCUGUUUUCCAGCCUGGUGGUAAUCCAUCCACUGAAGCUUCUUUGCUCAGAAAAGACUGAUAAGUAUUGCCAGUUCCUACUGUAUGAUCUUUUUGCUGGACAAGUAGUUCCUUUUCCCAGCCUGGAGGUAUAUCAUCAAGUGAAUUAAAAUUGCCAGUUCCUACUGUCGGAUAUUUGUUCCGGGUAAGCAUUUCCUUUUCCCACCCGGGUGGCAAUUCAUCUGCUGAAGCUAAUUCUCUGCUGAGAGAAGCCUGAUCAGAAUUGCCAGUUCUUAUUGCAGGAUCUUUGUUGUAGGCAAGUAUUUCCUUUUCCCAACCUGGGGGUAUUUCAUCCAGUGAGGCUUUUUCUCUGCUCAGAGAAGCUUGAUCAGAAUUGGUAGUCCCUACUAUAGGAUCUUUGUUCUGGGCAGGUAUUUCAUACUUCCAUCCUGGGGGUAUUUCAUUCUCCCAACCUGGGGGUAUUUCAUCUGGUGAAAGUUUUCUGCUCAGAGAAGCCUGAUCAGAAUUGCCAGUUCCUACAGUAGAAUAUUUGUUCUGUCCAAGCAUUUCCUUUUCCCAGCCUGGUGGUAUUUCAUCUAGUGCAGCUUUUCUGCUCAGAGAAGCCUGAUCAGAAUUGCCAGAUCCUACUGUCGGAUCUUUGUAAUGGGUCAGUAUUUCCUUUUCCAAGCCUGGUGAUAAUUCAUCCCCUGAAGCUUUUCUGCUCAGAGAAGCCUGAUCAGCAUUGCCAGUUCCUACUGUUGGAUCUUUGUUCUGGGCAAGUAUUUCCUUUUCCAAGCCUGGUGAUAAUUCAUCUCCUGAAGCUUCUUUGCUCAGAGAAGCUUGAUCAGAAUUGACAGUUCCUACUGUUGGAUCUUUGUUCUGGUAAAAUAUUUCCUUUUCCAAGCCUGGUGAUAAUCCAUCCCCUGAAGCUUCUAUCUUCUGAGAAGCCUGAUCAGAAUUGCCAGUUCCAACUGUCAGAUCUUCAUUCUGCGUAAGUAUUUCCUUUUCCAAGUCUGGUGGAAAUUCAAGGCCUGAAGCUUCUCUUCUCAGAGGAGCCUGAUCAGAAUUGCCAGUUCCUACUGUAGGAUCUUUGUUCUGGGAAAAUUCCUGACCAGAGACAUUCAGGGGGAUGCCCAAAGAGGCAGAUUUCUUAACAACAGCUCGAAAAGCACGUUCACCUAGAUCCAAAUCAGCCACCGGUUCUGGGCUGUGGCCCACAAGUCUUUUUGAGAUCCGUCGACCAGGUGUGAGUGGUUUCUUAGUUCUGGAUCUUCUUGACUGCUCCGGUUUUUCUUUAUUAAUAUGUUUUUCGUGCUCAUUUUCUAGUAAUUGCUGCUCUGAGGGUAGAUCUAACUGAGGGGUUGAGACAGCUGAUAACCUUUUAAUAGCGUUACUUUCAGCAGCUAUGACUUUUGUGUCUGCACUUGAGUCUCUUAUUUCUGGCUCUGUGUCUAGACUUAUUUCAGCAUUUUGAAUUGAAUGCUUCGCAAUAAUAUCAGCUGCAGAUGAUGUAAUAAUAAUGUUUGCAUUGGACGCACUGCUUUCAGGCUGUUUCUUGGAACUCUCAGCUUGUACUUCUGGUGAACAAGUAACUGAACGUUUUCGACCUACAUCAGCAAUCCCAGUUUCAGAAUUGAGAAAAAAAUGUAUAUUUAAAAAGUUGAUAAGACAAAAUCAAGGAGAAAGAUUAGAAUGAAAGAAUUGAAAUGACUGCAGUUGAUGGCCCCAACAUUUAGUCAAGUAUAUAUCACCUCUAAAGGUUAGAAUGUUAGGGAAUAUUAACUAAAGAAGUAUCACCUCUGGAUUCCUUAGCAGCAAAAGGUUGCCUUUCGGUUACAGAGCACCCUAAUUUCUUCGAAUUGGUGUCAACUGUUGUGGGCUACCAAAAGAGAGAAUUUUCAACCGUUAGAGAAUUCUCUUGUUCAAAGUAAAUCAACAUACACUAGUCCUGAGUUCAAAGAAUUAGCUUGUCAAAGUUGAAACUCAUGACAAACAAUGAAAUACAUAGUUUGUGAUUACAGUCCCAAUUAAAGGACUAGUCAAAACAAGGUGUGGAAAUUCAGCGUCAUGCCAGAGAACAUUAAGUAUGCCUACGAAUGAUGAAGAUCUCAGCUUUUUAAGUCCAACGUCAAAUUCCAGGGCUCAACCCUGGACAGGCAGUGGAAACUACCAAGCUGGAGUACAGCAGGGGAAAAGUUGGUAAAUCAAUCAGGAAAAUCUGGAAAAUGAUCCAUGCAAGCAUUUCUGGUGUGUUUGUACAGAAAGGAACCACAGAUGUGUUGAUGGAAUAGCAACUCCAAAUCACUCCCUUAUGGGUAGAAGUCUCAUGUUUAUUUAGUUGGUGAAUCUAUCUCCUACAGAUACCCCUACCUACACCUCUGACCAUUUUUUGGACUUAGUUAGCUCCUUAUCCUAAGAAUAGGACUACAUGUAACGGAGUCAACAAACUCUCUUUUGUAAUCAAUAUCUUUGUAAGCUUUGCAUUUGCUUGAUGCCAUCAAUGAAUCUACUUCAUUAAAAAAAAAGAUUAUUCUAUCAUCAUAUAGUGUGUCAAGACAUGCAGUGAAAUGUUAAUACAAUGAAAAGACAUUCAACUUAAAUUCUACACUUGAAAUAGUUAUAUUUGAUAUGCAAAAUACUUGAUAUAAAGAUUUCCCCAUUUAAAAAAACUUACAAGAGAAAUGACAAUGUCAAUUUCCAUGGAUGGUGGUUCAGAUUUGGGAACCAUGAGGUAUCGAGCCGUUCCUUUUUAACCUUCUAUAUCAUUAUAACUAGAAUUUAUAAUGAUUAUUUUUCUCAUUUAAAAGAACUUACAAGAAAAGAUCAUUGAUAACGUUCAUUGUUCAAACUGAAAACAGAAGGUGCAGUAACAUAGAAAAAAGAAGUUAUCCAACAAAUAGAAAUAACAGAGGGGUGUGUGUGUGUGUUUUGUGGUGGGGGGAAUCAGGAAUGUGAUGACUUACAGAACUCUCCUUCAUUGUAGCAUCUAGAUCCCUUUUGACAGGUUUUAUAGCACAAUUACUGAUGUCUCCAGUUUGUAGAUAGCGGAAAACAUCCUUCUUGGAGCGAAAUACAUAGCCAUCCACUGGAUCAAUGUAUAACUGAAAUAACCAAGUCAAUUUAAGAUCCGCACUAAAAUCUUUGAAUGUAAAUCUACUUAUGCAGCAUUCGUCACAUAAGCAGCUCCUACUCCUGCUAACACAACACAGCCUUUCUCAUGUAUAACCUGCCACGGCAUAAUCAUGCGAAAUAGACUGCUGGAAUAGGAUGAUAUGCAUACAAGAAGAGAGAGAGUGUACCGGGUCUUUUCUUAUCCCAUUAGCUUUUUUAGUAAUUUUGAUUUCUUUUUUCCAGCCUGGGGGCAAAUCAUCCAAGGAAGGGUCUCCAUUCAAAGAAGCCUGAUCAGAGUUGCCAGUUUCUGGUGUAGGAUCGGAGUCCUGGAGUAAUUCCUGGCUGCAGGCAUUCACAGAGAGGCUCAGAGAGGCAGAUUUAUCAACUACAGCUGGAAGAGCACGUUCACCAAGAUCCAAAUCAGCCGCCGCUUCUAUAUUUUGACCUGCAAGUCUUUUGGAGACCCGACGACCAAGGUUAAGUGACUCUGUUUUUCUGGAUUUUUUUGACUGCUGUGUUGCUUUAGAACUAUGCUUUUCCUGCUCAUUUUCUAGUAGUUGCUUCUCCGAGAGGAGAUCCGACUCAGUGGAAACAGCUAAUGGCUGUUUAACACCAACACUUACAGUUUCGAUUUCAGCAUCUUCAACUACAUUUUCAAAGGAAUGAUUCUCAUUUAUCUCAGCUAAAAUGGAUGUGAUGAUGGCAUUAGGAUCAGACACACUGCAGUCGGGCUGUUUCUUCGAACUCUCAACUUGCUGUGCAGGUGAGCAAGUACCAAAAAUUUUCCCCCCUACAUCAGUAAUCCCAGUUUCACAAUUGAGAAACAAUUACCAACAUCUAGAGAGAGAGAGCAGGUAAACAUAUUGAUAAAGAAAAAUAAAAUGAAGGGAAUUGAAAUGACUAGAACAAAUGACCAGACGCUGAAUAAACGAUGCACAUCCUCUCAGAUAGGGACUACAGAGCAAUAUUUCCAACUACAGAUUAUCACCUUUCGACUCGUCUGUCGUAAAGCCUCCUAAUUUCUUCAAGCUGGCAUCACCUGUCGUGGGCUAUCAAGAGAAAUAAAUUUAUAAACAUCAGAGAUCCCUCCCAUUCAAGGUAAAUCAACAUCCACCAGUCUUGAUAAUAAGCAAACUAAGCUCAUAAACUACAAUUUUUUUCAAAAACUAUAUCUACAAAGGAUUAAGACCAAUUACAGUCCUUCAUGAAACCAAAAUAAGGCUAGUCAAGAACAAGGAGGAAGAAUUUCAAGAUCGACCAGUUAGACAGAAAGAAUAUGCCCAUAUAUGCGAAAUGUUAAUAUGGUGAAAAGUCAUUCAACUUUGAUUUUUAUUUUUAUUUUUUGACAAAGGUAACAAUUUUGUAUAUAAAUCUUCAGCACUACAGCUGGGAUCCCAAAAACUUACAUCACAAAGCUACAUACAACUGAGUAGGCUCAGCAACCCAAAAAAAAGCCCUAUCCCAGGUCCUAUUUCAUCUUACAAGGAUCAUAGAAUGUCUACAAUUGCUAUAGGAUCAUCUAUAUACUCAGAACUACACCAAUAGCAAAAAGUGAUAUUGCAGUUCAUUUUAAUCUUAUGCAAAGGACUACUGAUACUUUCAAAACAUCUUGACUACUGAUACUUUCAAAACAUCUUGAAUUGCUCUCGUUCCAAAUGGUCUACCAUAUCACUGCUGGGACAAUUUUCCAUCUGUUUUUGUCUGUGCUACCACUCCCUUCAUUGUUCUAGCUUACUAGAGCCUGACCUGCCCUUUCUGGCAUAGUUCAUCUUAUUCCUCUGAAACUAGUAAACAGGUUCCAUAGCUGGCUAACCACUUUACAAUGUAAAAACAGAUGGUCGAUUAUCUCUGCCUUUUGCUCACAAAAAAAAACACCUUGGAGACAUUUGGAUGCCCUUCUUCCAUUCAACUUCGAUUUUACGCUUAAAUGAUUAUAUUUGAUAUGCAAUAUCAGACAAGAUUCCUCCUCAUUCAAGGGACUUACAAGUAUGGUGGUUCAGAUCUAGAAUCAAAAGGUAUUGAGCCAUUCCUUUGCCAUCCACCAAACAGUCACUAGCUAAAUUUCUUGCAAGUUAUUGAGCUUGUUUGGAUUAGCAGAUUGUAGAUAGUUGAUAAGCUUUAAGUGCUGGAAAGCAUUUUUUAAGUGCUGAAGGAAUUUUUUUAAAUAAACGUGUUUGGAUAGAAGUGUUGAAACAGAUAAUAAACAGCUCAUGUGUUUGGUAAAAAAGUGUUGAUAAGAUGGUCUUUUGUUAAAAUGACUAAAAUAUCCAUAACAUUUUUACAAAAAAUCAACAACAACAAACCCAUUGUAGUCUCAUAAGCGGGGUCUGGGGAGGGUAGAGUGUACGCAGCGCUACCCCUACCUCGAGGAGGUAGAGAGGCUGUUUUCAGAAGACCCUCUACCUCAAAUAUAUUUCAUAUAUUAAAAUAUAUUUUUGUAAGGAAAAGGACGAACGACAAAUAUAGAGUGGAGAGUAAGUUAGAGCUUUGUUUGUAAAAGGUACUUAGUGAAUUAGAAAAUAUAUCAAGGAUAAAAUCAUAAAACUUUAGUCAAACCAAACGUACUUACAAAUUGAAAAGCCAUAAGUUGGGAACGAGCAACUUACAAUUUUUGGCUAAUUUUGGAAGGCUUAUAAACACUUUGACUGCUAUCUAACGCAUAAAUGAGCCAAAAGGUGCUUACAAGCCAGGUUAACUAGUUUAUAAGAUAAGCCGAAUGCCCUUGUUGUCUACACAUCUUUCAAUUUGCAUAAUAAGAUGUGAAAUUAUUCUCUUUAAACUUGGAUUUUUCAAGUGCGACUAAAAUUUCACAACUUCAAUGAGCCUGCCUGCUUUAGAAGGCACUAAAUACACUACUCUUACAGGAUGGAAUGUGUUUUCCUACUAAAGGGUUGAGACUGGUGCAUCUCACUGAAGGCAACAUUACAAACAUGACCAACAAGGUUCUGUAUGCAAGCUGAACACUUAAAUGAAAAAGGGCUAUAAAACAAGUUCAAAUAACAGCAGUAAUGGGUAGAGGGAGGGGGGGAUCAGGAAAGAUGUGACUUACAGAAUCAUCCUUUGUAGUUGAAGCUACAUUCCUUUUCGCAGGUCUUCUAGCACACCUACUAGCAUCUCCAGUUUGUAGAUAGCGCAAAACUUCCUUUUUGGAGUAAAAUUUAUAUCCAUGUACUGGAUCCGUGUAGAGCUGCAAUGACCAAGUCGACAUAAAAUUCUCAACUUUGAAUAUAUAUCUACUGUCACAGCAUUCCACGUCAAUCCCACAAGGAGUCCCCUAACCCUGUUUCCAUAGCACCCUUUCUCAUGCAUGCUAAAAUACUGCAUAAAGGUGCAAAACAGAACGUCCCCCUUAAACAGAUUAUACUUGUAUAUACAAUAUGGGUUGUGCAAAGGUUAGCACCAUAUCCACUUUAAUUUACCCAAAUUGUCCAUACUAUCUCAUUAAAAAAGGGACGUUUAUUUUAACCAAAAAAGUUGAAGUCUCUUCUCCCCAACCCCACUCCCCCCACAAUCUUUUCCCAGCUCCCUACUGCUUCAAUGGAAUUCCUGUUACGGCUACGAUUAGUUUCUAGAAUUUCAAUCAGCACAUCCAAGAUUGAUCAUGGAAGGGAUAAUGAACCCAUUUUAGCACAAGUGAGGUGGUCUUUGUGGAGACGAAAUGAGUAAAUGAGAUGGGUUUCUUUCAAUUGGGAAAUGUCUGUUGGAGUUGAAGAUGAACAAUAAAUACCUUGGUAGACAAUAUUUCAAAAAAAUUUAGCUUUGUUAUGAAAAGAUGCACAUAUUCUAAAUUCAUAUGGUUUCAACAAAUCCUUUCUAACUUCCCCUUUCCUAUUGAUGAACAAAACUAAAAUUACUCGAACCAUAGAACAAUUCCCUUUUUAUAUUGGGAAAAUGAAAAGUGGGUAUGGUGCUAAGUACUACAUUCAUGUAGUAGGUUCACAAAAUCCUGUAUAUACACACACAUACAUAGAUGAUAGAUAGUAACAGAAGGGGGGGGGGGGGGGGGGGGGGGGGGGGGAAAAAAUAAAAAAAAAAGNNNNNNNNNNNNNNNNNNNNNNNNNNNNNNNNNNNNNNNNNNNNNNNNNNNNNNNNNNNNNNNNNNNNNNNNNNNNNNNNNNNNNNNNNNNNNNNNNNNNNNNNNNNNNNNNNNNNNNNNNNNNNNNNNNNNNNNNNNNNNNNNNNNNNNNNNNNNNNNNNNNNNNNNNNNNNNNNNNNNNNNNNNNNNNNNNNNNNNNNNNNNNNNNNNNNNNNNNNNNNNNNNNNNNNNNNNNNNNNNNNNNNNNNNNNNNNNNNNNNNNNNNNNNNNNNNNNNNNNNNNNNNNNNNNNNNNNNNNNNNNNNNNNNNNNNNNNNNNNNNNNNNNNNNNNNNNNNNNNNNNNNNNNNNNNNNNNNNNNNNNNNNNNNNNNNNNNNNNNNNNNNNNNNNNNNNNNNNNNNNNNNNNNNNNNNNNNNNNNNNNNNNNNNNNNNNNNNNNNNNNNNNNNNNNNNNNNNNNNNNNNNNNNNNNNNNNNNNNNNNNNNNNNNNNNNNNNNNNNNNNNNNNNNNNNNNNNNNNNNNNNNNNNNNNNNNNNNNNNNNNNNNNNNNNNNNNNNNNNNNNNNNNNNNNNNNNNNNNNNNNNNNNNNNNNNNNNNNNNNNNNNNNNNNNNNNNNNNNNNNNNNNNNNNNNNNNNNNNNNNNNNNNNNNNNNNNNNNNNNNNNNNNNNNNNNNNNNNNNNNNNNNNNNNNNNNNNNNNNNNNNNNNNNNNNNNNNNNNNNNNNNNNNNNNNNNNNNNNNNNNNNNNNNNNNNNNNNNNNNNNNNNNNNNNNNNNNNNNNNNNNNNNNNNNNNNNNNNNNNNNNNNNNNNNNNNNNNNNNNNNNNNNNNNNNNNNNNNNNNNNNNNNNNNNNNNNNNNNNNNNNNNNNNNNNNNNNNNNNNNNNNNNNNNNNNNNNNNNNNNNNNNNNNNNNNNNNNNNNNNNNNNNNNNNNNNNNNNNNNNNNNNNNNNNNNNNNNNNNGGCUGAGGAAAAAAGAAAAAUACCAGGUAUUCCCUUGUUCCACGAUCAUUUUGACUACUUUCUUUUUUCCAGCCAUGGGGUAAUUCAUCUGCUGAAUCGCAGUCAACUGCAACCUAAAUGUUACUACAAAAAUUAGCAACCCGUAGUGAAUAGAACAGCUAUAGGUCAUAUCUAUCAGAAGCAUCUGAGGUAUUACAGAAGAAACACUCUUUGCAGACAGACAACCACUGCCAGGUUUCUGUCUUUUGGAUUGGGGACUUUGUGCCCCAUUUUCUUUGGAACCCAGAGAUGUUUUCUCAUUUAAAAUGAAGUCCUCUCCAGCACCAUGCUGAAACAAGAACAUUAUUACAUGAGAAUACUAGCAACAUCUCAAGGCUACACCAAUUGAAUUGCUUUCAACAGCAAUUUAGAUAUUACUAGAGAAUCAGCAAAACUCUAGUGAAUUAAAGAAUCAAAUUUUUUCAGAGGUAUCUUAAGUAUAUUACAGAAGGAGAAGUCUUUGUAGUCCUGGUAAUGCCAGAUUUCUUCCUUUUGGUUGUGCAACUCUGUUCCCCAACUUCUUCAAAAUCCUGAGAUGCUUUCAGCUUGGAAAAUGACCCCUCCUCAAUGCCAGGCUGAGAAAAAAGAUAAUAAGACGAGAAUAAGUUGCAGUUCUUAAAUGCUACACCCAGUGAAUUGCUUUCAACUGCCACCUAUAUGUUACUAGAUAAAUCGGCAACCCAUGGUGAACUACACAGCUAACAAUCAAAUCUGUAAGCAGUGUCUCUUUUUGAGAAGGAAAUCUGUAAGCAGUAUCAUAAGUACAUUACAGAACAAAUAGUCUUUACCGAGGCCUGGUCGGUGUCAGAUUUCAGCCUUUUGGAUUUGCGAGUCUGACCCCCACCCCUGAUAUUUUUGGAAUCCUCUGAUGUUUUCUGAUUUGAAGAAGAUACUUCACCAUCUCCAUGCUGACACAAAAACAUAAUUACACAUGAAGAUGCUGUAGGAACCCAACAACAACAACAAAAAUACCCAGGGUAGGUAAGAGGUCUGGGCUCACAAGUCGGAUCUGGUGAGGGUGGUGUGGACGCAGACUUUACCCCUACCUUGUGCGGGUAGAGAGGUUUUUUCGGAUUGACCCUCGACUCAAGUAAAGCAUUUUAAAUUCUCUUCUACAAGGAAUGUGGAAAAUAUGUAAUAACCCAAGGCUACAAAAGCUACCAUCAAAUUUUUUUCUGGAACUUGCCUCCUCCAUCAAACUUUUACCUACUCAAGUACUCUUUCCUAUAAGGAAUGUCCAAAACAUGAGUCAGGCUGCCCAAAGAUAGAUUUUUUUCAUUUCAAACUAGUUACAAAUGCAUGGUGCAACUCUUUUUAGUACUUUUGUCAUUUCCAACGUGCCACUGCCAAAAUAAAUACAAGCAACUUCCCCUUUCUCUUAAAGAUCCUUAGAAACAGAGUAUUCAUUAUUAGAAUUACACAGAUCAAGAUACCAAUAAAGAGAUCAAAUCUCAUCCAAAGUACUUCCGUUUCUUUAUUUUUGCUUUGACUGCACCACCUUUAAUAUGUGGCUCCCUAUGACUUCUCCAAAAAAUUAGGGAAAAUAAUAAACAGAUUUUAUCAUGGUGAGAAAGUUAAAAGGGAGAGAGCCUACUAUCUGUCCUUCUCCCGUGAUGUUGUUCUGCUUCAUAGUUUUGAGAUAUUUAGAAACUUCAGGCUUUGAAUAAAAUUUGCUUCCAGUUGAUGGAUCAAUGUAAACCUGAAAGAACAGCAAAAGAAAUAAGAAUGUAAACUAAAGAUGAGGUAUGAUUGGAGCAUUUUAUCGGCAAAAGUAGCAUCACUCCUGCUCUAAAGGCUAUGCUUCUUCCAGAUAAGUCGCAAACUAGGACAACUGCUGCUUAGUGUUGCAGCAAAAGAACUGUUACACAGAAAAGCGGACUACAGCCAAGCUACCAGAAGCCCCUAAAGAAGUUUCUUAGGAAUACUUGGUUGAAGUUCCUAUGACAAAAAGAACUCAAAAUUUGUAUAAUUGAAGUUAAAUCAUGAAGCUUCUUCAAUUUGAGUUUUCUCUAUAGUAUUUCCCUAAUUAUCAAACCUUGUAAAAAUGCAGCAGAUCACUGAAUCAGGAGUUGGCCGGAUGAUUAAACUGGUCUGAGGUUUUGAUACACAUACAGGACCAAAUUUGAUUUUGCUAAAACACAUUAUACUACUCCCUCUGUCCCAAUUUAUGUGGCACCACUUGACUUGGCACAAAGUUCAAGAAAGAUAUGUAGACUUUUGAAAUUUGUGGUACAAAACAAACCUUAGACAUUUUUUGUGAAAAAAAUAUCACUUGUAUGUCUAUAAAUCAUUGCAUUAAGGGUAAAAGGAAAAUUUUAAAGUAAAGUUACAACUCAUUUCAUCAAGGUUAAGAAGAAAAUUUUAAAGUUAAGUUAUUUCUAAUUAUAGAUAUGUGGUACUAACUUAAAAAAAGGGUGUCACACAAAUUGGGACAAAGGGAGAGCAUUUUUAUGAAGCUCAUAGGGUAUUUUACCCUCUUAUGUGUGGGGGCCAAUGGCCAUUUACCCCGUUGUUAGCAAAUCCUCAUUUUUUUCCCUUGACCCUAACAGAGGAGCUCCAAUCUGAAGUAUAAGGAAGGGUAAUUUUAACCCUAGUCAAAAGAAGAGAGUAAAUUUGACCAUUUUCCAAAAGUAUUUUGGCAUGUGGAAUCCACCCAGCCCAUGCUGGAGUGUCCUUAAAAUCAAGGGCAAAAACAAGACAUGUUGUUAGUGGUAAAGGUAUCAGGUAUGAAUUGCCCCAAAGUAUAACUGAGAGUACAAUAAAGAUAUUUUUUAUGGUAGAGGGGUAAAUUUGGACUUUUUCUCUUCUUUUUUUUAUAUAAGGAAAAUAAUUGUGAAAAAAAUGAGUAAAUGCCAAAUUUACCCCUCUAUUUUGUAUGUAGAGGGGUAAAUUUGGACUUUUUCUCUAUAGUAUAAACCUUAUAUAACUAGUCCGUGCACCACUCAACCCCUAGAAUCUGCAUGCUCAUCAUUACCUCAACUAACAAAUACUAUUGGAAUUUUGUGUUUGAGAUAAACUACCAGAAGGACCAAAACCAGCAUAUGAUCAUUUGUAUGCAACAGUCUUUGUCAUCUACAUAGAAUUUGAGUGAACACGGUUAUCAGUUUUUUUAAGCAUGGAAUCAUGGAAAAAGACAUGCUGAUACAACACCAAAAUUGACACAAUGCUGAUCUAACCGAAGGUCUCACUAAAGUCAAAAUAAGAGACGCACAUUAUAACAAAUCAUCGCCACAAGCAUUUAGAGGUCGGUAUAUUUCCAUUUUCAUACCUUGUAAGGAGUACCAGCAUGUGAGCCAGACUUACGAGUCUUCAAUUCAACUAUCCACCCUGGAGGUAACCAUUCAUGAGAAUUAUUUGGUCUCCCAACAGCCUGACAAUAACAUGAGACAGACCUUAGAAGAUAAGAAUCACAAAGCAAAAAUGUAGAACGUAAGAGUUACUUUACCUUCAAAACUCACCUCACUAACAUUGUUCUCAGAGCAACUCUUAUCUAGAUUAUCCAUUUGACUAACAUUGUCCUUGGAGAAGCUCUCAUCUUGAUUAUCCAUAUGACUAACAUUGUUCUCAGAGCAGUUCUUACCUUGAAUAGUCAUUGCUUGAGUUACAUCAUCGCAAGUAUCUUUUGUGUUCAAGUACCGAGCGACUUCCUUCUUGGAAUAAAACUUUUUCCCAGUCUGCCCAUUUGUAUAGUACUGAAAAGAUAAAUGAAAACAAUAUGUGAUGCAAGCCAUAUAAACAGAAAGACUAUGCGCUUUCUUACAUGGCAUCAUUUAACAGUGGUUGAUUCUCUAUUCCACAGGUGACAACCUUUUAUAGUGCAGAUUCUAAUGUUACAACUCCCCACUAGUGGGAUUCCACUGGGAAUGUUGUUGUUGUAUUCUAAUGUUACAGCAUCACUGCAUACAUCAACAUUAGCCAAGACAAGACGGGAACACAAUUACAUGAAGUAUUCCAAAGAGAAGUUCUUUAUGAAACUCAUCGAGAAAGAGUUCAAGGACUGAGGAAACUUUUAAGGCAAAGUAGGGGUUUUGUACAACUAGAGGUUCUCUAACCCUUGCACUUACUGCUACACCUCUACUCUGACAUAUAACUUCCUAACCAAACUAAAAUAAUUCUGGCCUUAAUACAGACUAGUUGAUAUGCGUAUAUGAAUCCUUUUCUUCCAUGUUUUAGCUAUGUCCACACGGGUUCUGAGACACCAUUGCUGUAUUCACCUCAUAAACUUAGUUUUACAAAAGAACAAAAGAAGUUGAAUCCCACUUCGCCCACCUAAAGCUGCAACACUAAAAGCUAGAAAGCAGAAAAAUGACUUAAAACUCUGUAUUUGCAAUGCAGAGCAGAACAAUACUCAAGUUACACAACUGAUAAACCAUUCAAUAAAAAAGAGUAAUAUCAAGACUCUACAUGCAAGUAGUUUGCCAAGUUGAUCCCACACUAAAACAAUUACAAAGCUGAUAUCCCAAAUGUGAACAACCCCAUCUAAAAGCACCAUAAACCCAUCUGAAUUUAACUACAGAAUUGUCUUAUUAUCAACUUCAAAUCGAAAUUCCUUAACCUUACCUCAAAAAAUGAAUGAACUUUAUAUCGAAUUCGAAGAAAUGACAACGAAAUUGAGCUACAUAGCUGUCCCAGCAUAUCAGCCGAUGCUCAAAAACGAAUAGUAAAAAACAAAAACAACAAUAUCCGAAUUUCCGAUAACCCCGUAAAAAAUUACCGCAAACCCAUUUGGAUUUAUACACAAUAUCCCCAAAAAAACACAAUAACAGCAACAAUAUCCUAAUUUUUUACAUAUACGUGUUCGUAUUUAACCACAAAAUCGACUAAUUACGUACUUAAAAGAUUAAUCAAAGUAGAAGAAAUGAUGAGUAAAUUUUAGCUCAAUAAGUCCAAUUUCUACCUUGAUUUUUCUUCCGUUUGAUACUUUGACAUCCUCUGUCCAUCCCGGAGGAGGCCAAUCCGGCGAAUCUACGACGGCCAUCUCGCCGGAAUCUGACGAUUUCAGGUGAAACGGCACACUUGAACUGACAGAUUUUGUCUUAGUGUGAGAGGGUCAAUAAGCUCCCGUGAAAAGACUUAUAAUAUGGAAAGGUUAUGUUAGGCAAUUACGAGUGGAAAAACACGUGGCAAAAAUAUAUUCUUUAAAUUUACUAUAAAUAAAUAAAUUAUUUUAUAUAAAUCUAAAAAAAUAAAAAAAUCAUCAACACAAAUUUUAUUUUUAUUUUUGUGUCUAGUAUUGAUAUUAAUGGAAAUUUAAAACUAUUUAGAUAUACAUAUGCACAUAGUGUAAAUAGGGAAAUUUUCAUUUCAUAUCAAUAACCAUACUAAAUUUUCUUACCAAUCUUUAAAUUAUGUUUUGUCACAAAUAAUUUGUCUAAUUUUGUGUGGCAUGUUUGUUAAAUAAGAAAAGAAAGAUGAAAAAGAUCAUGUUUUGAUAAUACUUCAAAAAUGAGAAAAGUUUUACUCCCAUUUGAAAAUAAUGUUAUGAUUCGAAGAAUUAAGUUUUAUUUCCUUGUUAGUUUAUAAUUUGUAAUUUUUUAAAAAAUAAUUGACUUUUUUAUGAUUUUCAAAUACAUAUUGGUUCUCUUUUUUUUUUUAAAACAAUGCUCGAAGUCAUAAUUUCAUGAACUAAGACUCAAAACUCCAAUCACUAUAGUUAAUGCAGUAUAUAUUUAGUUCACGAUAUUUUUAAAAUGUUUGUAUUAAAUUAUGCAUCAAUUUAUAUAUUAUUUUAUAUAUAAUAGAAUGUACAAUGAAUACUAUAUAAUAUUAAUAAUGUGAAAAUCAAGCUAUUUAAAUACGAAAUUCUCAUUUAAAGUAUCACCAACCAACUUUGUUAAUUAAAACAAAAAAAUCACCAACUUUCUAUAAAUACGAUGAUCCCAAAGUUAAACAUCGAAGAUUCACAUUCAAUUUAUCUAUUUCCCUCUUUGAAAUUAAACCAUAUGAAGAAUAACCAUUGAAAUGAUAACACUUCUUUAUUUUGUAGAAUGUUACUACAUGUAACAUAUUGUUAUGUAUCUAAAGAGAAGUACGUCUUCGUCUAACUACAAAGGGAAUGAACCAUUAAUAAUUGCACAAAUUAAUCAGAGAGGGAAGCACCAUUAAUAUCGACCACGGAGGGGAAGAAUCAUUUCUCAAAUAACUACACAAGGGGUGAGUAUAGUAAAUCAUAAAGAUAAUAAAAAAAAAAAUAGAGAUUCAAUUAUCUCAGUGAAGAUAGAAUUAUUCACACGGAAUUCUUCCUAUAGUGGGGUGCCAGCAGCUCACAAAGGUAUUUCUCGUCACAAGUAUUCAGCUUGGAACUUGUUAAGUACAAUUGUAUAUAUAUAUUCUCUUAUGUUGCAUUUCUCUUUUUUGCUCGUCUUUGAGAGGACAUAUAUAGGCUAUAGUUGAUAAUCUUCUAAGCCUUCACUCUCAUGUUGAUCUUGAGUAAGUUAUUUUAUGUAUAAUGGCUAUUAUGACAUACUUAAAAGUUGUAUUGUUUGAAUAGUCAAAUUCAAUAAAAAAAAAAUAUUGUUGCAUUCGUAUUGAAUUCUUUAAAAAUAUAAUACUUUUGGAGGAUUCGACAUGUACUUGUCUAACAUUUUUUGAAAAAUUUCAACAACAUAAUCUAAAAGUUGUGAUAAAAUUAAAAUUGAAAAAUGGACAAUCAAAUGAGUCAAAUGUACAUUGUUAUUUUCAAAUUUGAGAGUAACACAAUUUUUUUUUUAUCGAUCCUUAAUUUUGUGGUAAAACAACUUCACCUCACUAUCCUUUUGGGACUGAGGUGGUUAUAUUGUUGUCGUGAAAAAAAAAGAAGUGAAAGUUACAGAUUUACAGGAAUUCAAUACUUUUGUCCAAAAUUUGUAUAGGUAUUAAAAUAUUUUUUUACCAAGAUAAAGAAAAGAAGGAGCAAAAUAUUAGAGCUCAUGUACACAUUAUUAUCUCAUCUUAUAGAGAUGAUGUACGUGACGACCCAAUCGUUCACAAUUUGUGCAAGUAAAUUUCAUUGCUCUUGUGCACCAGCCGGGAAUCGAACCUGGGUCUGUAUUGUGUGGCAAGGACUAUUCUACCACUAGACCACUGGUGCUACUUGUUUAUACUUUCUCAUUAUAUUUAUAUUGUACUGUAUUGAAUUUAUCUUUUUUCGACAAUCAACUUGCUUACAACAACAAUAUUUAUAUAUUGAGUGAAAUCUCACAAAGUGAGAUCUAUACUACUUGUAUUAAUUAAUAAACUUGUUUGCAUCUUUCAAUUGUAUCAUAUUCAUUCUUUAAUUUAUACAUAUGUUUAUCAUGACUUACUAAAGUUAUUAUACAUGAUAUAUAUUCACAAUUCAAAUUUUGGAUAUUAAAAUUAAAUUAUUUGAUUUGAUAUCAACAGAACCCGAUACGAGAAAAGUCAAAUCUAAUCUCUAUUUCCAUUUUUUUUUAGCAACUUGAACCUUUUUCUUUGAUUUCUCAUCCAGUAUUUGGUACCUACAUUGGAGUUCGACUAAAUUUGAAUUCGCAUUGAAAAGUUCAAUAUUUAAGGGUAAAAUGCUACCUAAGGGCAUCUCCUCCAAACACCAAAUUUGGUGUCAGAACUAUUUUUUGUGUAAUCAACUCCAACCCACUGCACCAAAUUUUACACCAAAAGGAAUAUUUUUCUCUCUCUUCAUUAUUAUAUUAUUAUUUCUUAUUUCAUAAAACAAAUUCUUUCUAAAACAUUCACCAUAUAUAAUUCAUAUUAUUUCCUUUUAUAAUCGUUUAAUAUAAAAUUAUGUUGUACCAUAAUUUUUAAAUAAUAUAUCCAAUUAUAAUUUAUAGUAGAACUAACAUAAAUUUAAUUUUUUUUAAAAGUCAUAUAUGGAAAAAAUGAAUUAUAAAAAAGCUAAAUUUUAUAUCUAAAAUUAAUAUUAUAAAAAUAUUACAUAAAAUAAUUAAAUAUACAAGAGAUUUAAUUAAAACAUACAAUUUAUAGUUUAAUUAAAAGUUUGUAUAAUAAAAUAAUAUUAAAAUAUUCAAAAAGUGAAUUGGUGUGAUGAAUAGUGUGAGUUAGAGCUCAAAACACCAAAUUUAAAAUUUGAUGUUGAAUCGAAGAUGAUCUAACAAAGGUGACUACUUUAUACCAAGGAUACUCGAACAGAAGACCUCUCGAAACUUAAGAGGUAUCUCCAACUUCCAUUUUAUCCAAUCAGCAAACAUGACUUUUAGUAGCUUAGGUCUAUCUUUGAAGAAGUGUGUAUUGUGAAUAAAGUCAACAAUAAUAUUUGAACUUUAAAUUACGAGUGGAGAAACACGUGGCAAAAAUAUAUUCUUUAAAUUUACUAAAAAAAAAUAUAUAUAUAUAUAUUUAUUUUUAAAAUCAUCAAUACAAAUUUUAAUUUUAAAUUUUGUGUCUAAUAUUGAUAUUAAUGGAAAUUUAAAAUUAUUUAGAUAUACAUUUGCGCACAGUCUAAAUAGGGAAAUUUUCAUUUCAUAUCAAUAACCAUAGACUGUCCAUAGUUGUUGCAAAUUAAAUUUGGUUGACUGUAUUUUCUUACCAACUUUGAAAUUAUGAUUUGUCACAUAUAGUUUGUCUAAUUUUUUGUGGUGUGUUUGUUAAACAAGAAAAAAAAUAUAUGUUUAGAUAAUACUUCAAAUAAGAAAAGUCUUUACUCCCAUUUGAAAAUAUUGUUAUUAUUCAAAGAAUUAAACUUUAUUUCCUUGGAAGGUAGUUUGUAAAUAAUUAAAUUAAUUUACUUUUUUUUUAUGAUUUUUCAAAUACAUAUUGGUUCUCAAUUUUUUUUAAAACGAUGCUCGAAGUCAUAAUUUCAUGAAUUAAGAAUCAAACUCCAAUCAUUAUAGUUGUGCAUAAGAUAAUGCAUCAUUUAAUGGCCAUAGAAGGAAAAAAAUAAUGGUCAUAUAAUUAAUGCAGUAUUUGGUGUGCGAUAUUUUAAAAUAUUUGUAUUAAGUUAUACGUCAAUUUAUAUAUUAUGGUAUGCAUAAUAGACGGUACAAUGAAUACUAUAUAGUAUUAACAAUAUGUGAAUCAAGUUAUUUAUAUACAACAUUUCCAUUUAAAGUAUUAUCCAUCAACUUUGUUAUUUAAAAUUGAAAAAAUCCACCAACAUUCUAUAAAUAAGAUGAUCCCAAAGUUAAAUAUCGAAGAUUCACAUUCAAUUUAUCAAUUUCCCUCUUUGAAAUUAAACCAUAUAUCAAGAAUAACCAUGGCUUCUUGCCAAAAAAAAUAAAUAGAAAUGACAAUUUUUUAAUUUUUUUUAUAGAAUGUUACUACAUAUAACAUAUUGUUAUGUAUCCAAAGAAAAGUACGUCUUCGUCUAACUACAAAGGGAAUGAACCAUUAAUAAUUGCACAAAUUAAUCAGAGAGGGAAGCACAAUUAAUAUCGACCACGGAGGGGGAAAACUAUUUCUCAAAUAAUUGCACAAGGGAUGAGUAUCGCAAAUCAUAAAGGUUAUAAAAAAUCGUAAUAGAGAUUCAAUUAUCUUAGUGAAGAUUGAAUUAUUCGCGCAAAAUUCUUCCUACGAUGAAGGUGCUAACAACUCACAAAGGUGUCUCGCUCGUAACAAGUAGUCAAUUUGAAACUUGUUAAGUACUAUUAUAUAUAUUUUCUCUUAUGUUGCAUUUCCUCUUUUUUAUUCAUCUUUGAGAGGACAUAUAUAGGCUACAACUGAUAAUCUUCUAAGUCUUCAUUCUCAUGUUGAUCUUGAGUAAGUUAUUUUAUCUAUAAUAGUUAUUAUGAUGAACUUAAAAGUUGUAUUGCUUGAAUAAUCAAAUUCAACAAAAAAUUAUUAUUACAUUCGUGUUGAGUUCUUUAAAAAUAUAAUACUUUUGAAGGAUUCGAUAUGUAUUUGUCUGACAUUUUUUGAAAAGUUUGAACAACAUAAUCUAAAAAAUUGUGAUAAAAACUGAAAAAUGGACAAUCAGAUGAUUCAAAUGUACAUUGUUAUUUUCAAAUUUGAGAAUAACACAAUAUAUUUUUUUAUCGAUCCUUACUUUUUUGGUAAAACAACUAAUCAGAGGCGUAUCCAGGAUUUCGACUAGAUGGGUGCACGAUUACGAAAAAAUGUAUCUUAAAUAUAAAUUUGAUCGAUUUGACUUUUAGUUUGUAAUAUGAACCAUUAAAGUUUAAAAAUUAUAGGUCCAAAAUAUAUAAUACUACUAGUUUUAAAUUUUAAUAUACACAUUUGAUUUAAUUAUAUUAAAAAUUUACAAUGCUAAAUUUUUUAGGAAUUCUCAAUGUAACAACUUGAAAAUUUUGAAAGAAAAAAACAAAAGAAAAAUUAGUUGAAACGACAAAAGUGUAAUUGAUAACCACUUGAAAAAGUGUUACUCAAAGAAACAAGAUAAAUAUAAGAUUUAAAUUUCUAUCUCUCACUUAGAAAAGUGCACCCAAUCAUCAUCGCAUUAUUAUAUGAUACUUUGAACAUGAGUUCACACAUCUAUAUUUAAAUAUUUUUUAAAAUAUAUAACACUACUAUAUAUGAUCUAGAGAGGGGAGCAUGGGUUCACGUGAACCCACGGCACCCCCUCUAGAUACAUUUCUCUGAACAACUUCAUCUCACUAUUCUUUUGGAACUGAGGUGGUUAUUAUUGUUGUCGUGAAAAAAGAAGAAGUGAAAGUUACAGAUUUAUCAGAAUUCAAUACUUUGGUCCAAAAUUUGUAUAGGUAUUAAUAAAAAAUUCACCAAGAUAAAAAGGAGCAAAAAAUUAGAGCUCAGAUACACAUUAUCUCAUCUUAUAUCAGAUUUAUGUGACGACCCAAUCGUUCACAAUUUGUGCAAGGAAACGUCAUUGCUCUUGUGCACCAGCCGGGAAUCGAACCCGGGUCUGUACCGUGGCAGGGUACUAUUCUACCACUAGACUACUGGUGCUACUUGUUUAUUCUUUUUCAGAGAAAAGACAUAAAGUAACUAUUAAAGUUGUCUCGAAUUUUCAAAAAAACACUUUAAAUUUGCGAGUGUCCUAUUACCCAAUUGAACAACUUCAAAAUAGCAUGUAUACCCCAUUUUUCACCCAAUACCACUUAUACAAAAAUAUUUGUAAGUCACGCAUUAAUAGCCACUUGACACGUGUUAAAAGUAAUUUUUAAUUAUUUUUAUUUGAUUUCUUUGCUUUUUUUUUUUUCUUUUUCUCUUUCUUCUUCGCCUCAACUUGUGUUCUUCAAGUAGCCAUUCCUUCAUCAUUGCUGCAACAAUCAUCAAUCCCGCUGUGGCGGGACUGAUUUCACAGUAAUACUACCAAUUAUUUGUUAAACUACCACCAAUUUAAUUUAUUUAUGAAAAUAAACACCGCCAAAUAAUCAAAAUCCAAAUACUCAAAAUAUCACCAAGUCAAAAACUGAAAUUUAAAUCACCACCUUCUCCAACUCCUUACUCUCAAAUAAAGUUUUCCAUAGUUUCAUUGCUCCAAAAUCCCAAUCUUGAUUUUUAAGAGGAAAAAAUUACUAAACUGAUUUGUUAUUAAAAAAUAAAAAUAAAAAUAAGAAUGAACACAACAACAUUAGUUUUUUUUUUUAAAAAAAACAAUGACCAUAAAAUGUAAAAGAAAAAAGAAAAAAAGGAAAAAAAAAUGAAGAAAGACAUGGAUGCCCCCAAGAAAUAUGGAUAAGCUAGUGAUGAUAGGGAAGAUGAGAAAAAAGAUUUGAAAAAAUAAAAAUUAUUCCUAAUAAAGGUAAAAAAAUUAAUACAUGAAUUUUUAUGGGGGGUUUUCAAAAUAAGUCAAAUUGAGAGUGCCACAUGGCAAUUUUACGUUGGUCUGAAGCUGUAUCAAGAGCCCUUCACGCGCCCAUAUUUCGUGACAAUAUGAGUAGUGUUAAAAUUAAUCAAAAUGGUAUAUCUAUUGAGGAUUUAGAUGGUUUCGUGGGGUAAUAGGACACCCACAAAGUUAAGGUGUCUUUUUGAAAAUUCAGAGCAACUUCAGUGGUGACUUUAUGUCUUUUCUUAAUAAAGGUAAAAAAAUUAAUACAUGAAUUUUUAUGGGGGGUUUUCAAAAUAAGUCAAAUUGAGAGUGCCACAUGGCAAUUUUACGUUGGUCUGAAGCUGUAUCAAGAGCCCUUCACGCGCCCAUAUUUCGUGACAAUAUGAGUAGUGUUAAAAUUAAUCAAAAUGGUAUAUCUAUUGAGGAUUUAGAUGGUUUCGUGGGGUAAUAGGACACCCACAAAGUUAAGGUGUCUUUUUGAAAAUUCGGGACAACUUCAAUGGUGACUUUAUGUCUUUUCUCUUCUUUUUCAUUAUAUUUAUAUUGUAUUGUAUUUAUCUUUUUUCGACAAUCAAUUUACUUAUAAAAACAAUAUAUUAAGUGAAAUUCCACAAAGUGAGAUCUAUACUACUUGUAUUAAUUAAACUUGUUUGCAUCUUUCAAUUGUGUCAUAUUCAGUGUUUGUACUAAAAUGAAUGCAAGAUAUGUCUUUCAUACAUAUGUCUAUCAUGACUUACUAAAGUUAUUAUAUAUGAUAUAUAUAUUCUUAAUUCAACUUUUGAAUAUUAAAAUUAAAUUAUUGGAUUUGAUAUAAACAGAUCCGAUACGAGAAAAGUCAAAUAUAAUCUUCAUGCUUCCAUUUUUUUUAGCAACUUGAAUUAUUUUCUUUGAUUUUUCAUUCAAUAUUCGAUAUCUACAUUGAAAUCCAACUAAAUUUAAAUUUGCAUAAGAAAGUCCAAUAUUUAAGGGUAAAAUGUUAUCUCACAAAGGUGACUACUUCAUACUAAGGAUACUCGAACACAAGACCUCUCGAACCUUAAAGAGGUGUCUCCAACUUCCAUUUUAUCUAAUCAGCAAACAUGACUUUUAGUAGCUUACGUGUUAGGUCUAUCUUUGAAGAAGUGUAUUGUGAAUAAAGUCAACAAUAAUAUUUGAACUUUAAUUAAUUAUAGUAUACUUUAAACUUCAGUUUCUUGCUUAGCUUGAACAUCUUGUGGGGAAGCAAAAUGAGAUACUAUAGUCUCAUAUUCUACAAUUCUUCCUUGCCAAAUUAUAUCAUGACUAAAGGUGUGCCUUUGGUAGAAAGUAAAUGUUUUUUUCACAAAAAAACAUAUUUUUUAAAAAUAAGUUAGUUUUUUAUAAUUAUUUAUUUGCUAGUAUUUGAUAAGUAAGUGAUUUUUUUAAUUUAUUUUAAGAGCAUUUAUAACUUAGAAUGAGAGUUUGAGGGGAUGGGAUGGUCGUCAAGGGUUACGUUGAGGGUGGGAAGCAUUGGAUAUGUGGAAAUGAGACGAUGAAUUUGAAAUCUCACUUAUGAAACUUGGUUAGUUGGUUUCUUUAAUUACUUAUGUCAGUUUUCUCGCUUUCAAGAAACUUGUUUUUCUUUAAUAUUUUGACCAACAGAAUAUAGAAAAAAAUUAAAAAAACAUUUUUUUAAAAAUAUUUUCUAGAACACACACCCUAAGGCUCAAUAGGAAUAAUAACUUGUUAUAACCGAUUAGUUUAAUUUGAUAGGGUCGAAGAAGUCCUUUUGUAGACGCAUGCAUGAUGAUCAUAUGGUAUUAUUAAUUUGUGUGUUUCUCAUGGAAGACUAAAUACUCAUUGAAGUCACUUAUUGUUGCUUCAAAAUACAUAUUAAACUACGUACUAAUCACUUCACAUCACAAUUAAUUAAUUGUCAUAUUAUUGAAGUCGACACCAAAUACUUCCAAAAAGAGUUGUUUUUUACUAUGCCCAAAUGAAUAAUAUAUAUAUAGCCUAUAGGGAGGGGGAUUAACAACUCAUGUAACCAUGCACUAAUAAUGUUCUUUUUUUUCUUUAAUAAUAGUAAUAUCCGAAUUAAUUUAUGUACAACUCAACUAUUAUAUUAAUAUCUAUAAAUUUUCACUACUAUAGAUCUAAAUAACCUUGUCAUAUGUAAUCAGAGUCACUUUCAAAAUACAUUUUAAUAUUAUAAAUUUUUUACCGUCCAAAGGAAUUACAUAUAAGAAAAAACAAAUUAUAUAUAUAUACAACCCUUUUACAAUUUUAUAAUGGUCGUAUUCAGUCAAUUUAUAUGCCCUCAGCUAUUUUGUCUAUACAUCUUUUUUUCUCUCUUUAAAUCCAAACUCAACUUUUCAUGAUUUUACUUAUUUUAUUGAUUGCUAAAACAUGGAUUGAUAUGGUCCUUUUACGCUUAGGACAUCAAAAUAUUAAAUCACGCGAUACUUAUUUACGAUCUUUUACGCUGAGGUUUUUUUUUCCUUCUCUUCUUUAUAUAAUAUAUAUAAUUUAAUAUAAUGUGGAUUAUAUUACUUUAUAAAUUAUAAGUACUCUUUAGUCUUUAUAUCCAUGAGAAGAUUAGCUGGUUUUGCCCACCAUUAUAAAUGGUUUGUACUACUUUAACAUUAUUAAAUUAAGCACUAUGCUUUGAAUAGAGACUAAUAAACAAUAAUUUGCUACUUAAUUUGUCCACGGCCUACCUACUUAAUUGUCUAUGAGUUGACUUUUUUUUACAUCACUUGCAAUUUUCGUACUAAAAAAAAUUAUUUCACAUUUUUUUAAUCUUCUUUUUUUACUAAACACUUAUUAAGUCGGUGGCUGAUCUAAGUAUUGAUUGGUUGGUAGUUCUAUUCAAAAACUGGUUUAAUUUUUGGUAUGUUUUCACACUUUUAUCUCACUAUACUUUGUUUGCAUAAUUUAAAUGUUGAAAUUUAAUGAGCAAUGAGGUAGCUCUUCAACUAUUACUAUUUGUAGGACGGUCGGUGUGCUAAGUUCUCGCUAUGUACGAUAUUUGUGAAGCCAGAGCAUAAGAGUUUAUUGUAAACAAUCUUAUCGUCUACAUAUUUGUAAGAGGUUGUUUUCAAAGCUCAAAUGUGGGACCUUCUGAUUACAUGACAAUAACUUUACCAGUUACAUCAGUUUUUACGUUUUGUAUGCAAUUAAAAACUUAAAAAACAAGAGAAAGAAGAUGGAGAAGAAAAUGUAAUUCAAUCAAUUUGAAGUACUAUAUCAUGACUUUCCUAGUAUACAUCUUUGAUUUCCAUGUACAAUACAAUGAUUAUGAAGAAAAAAAUGUAUAACAUCAAACUUAGCUACAAAAAGAACUUAGGAAUUUGGUGAAACAUGAAUAGGUCAACACCAAUUGAUCACAAAAGGCCACCUAAGAGUUUGACCUAACCAUCAAUAAAGUCGAUGAACACCUUAAAAGAUCAGCGCUCAAAUUCCAAUAGAGACAAAAAAAGUUUAAUAAUUUCCUUCUUACAUGCUAAAUCUUGAUGAACAGAGCUAUCAGUACAGGAAGUGAACGUAAGCUGACCAGAACAUGAUGAUUAAUUGUGAAGUGGAUUUGGUCCUCCGGGAACGGUUCGAUGAGAUACUCUAUAACUCUUGUCUAUAUCUUCAUUUCUUGAUUUUUUUGGAGAUGGUGCAGAGUUAUGCCAUGAAAUUGUUGAAUUCAAUCUUUGCUCUAUGCUUGUUGGAGUAAUUUCUUGAAUUUUUCUACAACUUGAUAAUUGACUAACGAAGAGUAUAAUUACCAAUAUUAGCAGAAAUUGAAAAGAAGGAUAUUGAAUUUUCAUGAUGAUUAUAUGAUGAAGAAAUAUUAGGGAAUAUAUGGACAGAGAGGGAAAUAAGUAGGUUGAUCUAAUUUUGAGUUUUUUUAGAACUUUUGUUGAAUGGUGACAAGUCUUUAUAUUAAUAUGUGUUUUAAUUUAAAGAACUUGUGGUGCAGAUAAGAACCAGAAAAAACUAAUAUUGUCUUGUAUAAAAUGACAUAGAUACCCUCAUAAUAUUUCCAACUUUUCAAUUCUCAAAUAGUUUAUGAGAAGUUUUUUUGUUUUGUUUCGUUUAAGCAUUUGAUAUUCAAAGUCAACUGACUCGAUUAUGAGAAAAACUUAAAGAACUCUACCUUUGUGAAAGGUAUAGUCGAUUAAGGGACCGAUAAUAAAAAAUAAUGUGCUUUGAUUGAUAUCAUAUUAAUAAAAAAUGUAAAAUUUUGACGAAAAUUUGUGAUGGAUUUCAUUGAAUAUUAAAUUAUCAAGAACAUUUUCGACAAUUAUUUUCAUCAAAUAUCUCAUAUUUCUGACAAAAUCGUCCAUCAAAAAUUUAUAUUUAUUUUAUUUAAUACUAAAAGAAGGUUUGAAAGGGCAAAAUAGUCAUUAAAUGAAUAUAGAUUUUAGCAGAGUGAAAUGUGAAUAAAGAUGUUGCUUAGAGGUUAUGAAGAGCUGACAAAAAUUUGGUGGGUUGUGUAGGCAUUUAUUUACCCAUUCAUUAAUUUUGGUGAGUAGUAUCUUUUAUUUAAAUAAAAAUAAUUAAACAGUGUUAAUAUUAAUUGGUUGGUUGGACUUUAAUGAAAGUUUUUUCAGGAGCCCAUCCUUAUAGGCAUGUGGUGCAAGUGCAAACCCAGCAAUUGUCUCAUGUUCAUGCAGUCCUAGAUUUCUGUCGUUCACUUUUAAUUGUUCAUUUAUAUUUAUUAAAAAUUAAUUUAAUAUUAAGAAAACAAAUAUAAAAACAAGUAAAAGUAUUAUCUUUUUAGUAUCCUAAAUACAACAGGAAUGAUUAAACUAAUUAUUUGAUUAAUCGGAUCAUUACGAUUUCAAAUUCAAAAUGAUUAAACUGAAUGUUUUUUCUCAUAAUUUUCAAAACAUUUAAGUAUAAAAAAUUAAUUCAAGAGGACUUUUGUUUCUAACAUGACGUAGGCCAUUGGUUUUGGGUCCUCUGGGUCCUUGUCCAUAAUCAACUUAUUAAAUGAUAUGGUUUCUAGAGGGUACAUAAAUUCAUUGAAAUAUAAUAAACUUUUAAUUAUUCCACAAAAUUAAGGUAAAGAAAAUCUCCUGCAAACUGCAAAGUUCCCAUGAAACUUAAAUUCAUUGAAAUAAUAAACUUCCAAUAAUUCAGAAGUCUUGAUGGUAGAGAUUUUCUUGAUUUUUUUUUAUGGUGCGAGUUACGACUUUAAGAAUUGUCUAUUUUCUUUUUAUUCAUCGGAUUUUGACACGCUCAUACCUACAACGACUAGACGAUUACUCCCUACACACCAUUAAACAUCACUAUUUAACACUUGGGUUCGUCCUAUACAAGAACUACAACCCAAUUAAUGUCAAGAAAAUAUCCUACAAUGUUCCCUUGAAACUUCAAGUGUGGAGAUUUUAAAAAAGAAAGUAUGGAAAUUAAUACAAAAUAAUUUGAAUAUAUUCGAUCCUUCUGCUCAUUUUUACUUGUCCACUAUUUCAAUUUUUUUUUUCAUUUUUACUUAUGGUCAUUUUUAACAUAUUCAAAGAAAAGACAAUUGUUUUUCUAUAUUGUUUACCCUUAACAUCAAUAUUAUACAUCAAUCAAUAGAAACAGUAUGAUAGUAAAAUAAUCAUGUCAUUAUUUUCUUAAUAUAUAUGCCAAAUACAAAUAUGACAAGUAAAAGUAAACAAACAGACCAGCAUUUUUAAUUCAUAUUGUCAACAUUAAACACUGAAAAUUACAUCAAUGUUUAUCACCAGGUCCUCCAUAAACAAUCAAAUGACCAAGUACAUCUCCUUGAUCUAUAAAAUCUUGAACUUUAUAUAAAUUUGUGCUACUCUCAAAUUGAUUUGUGCCAAUAUGAUCUAAAGAGUAUGUUACAACUUUAUCAUCCACAACAUACAUAAAAGUGCACUUUCUAAAAUAUGCAUUUUCUAGUAAAUUUUUAUUUGGAAAAAGUCCACUACCCAUUGGAGGGAAAGGUAAUCCUUGUGGACUAUAUGUUAUACCUCCAUAUUGAGCACUUAAUGCAUGAGCUUGUAAUGUUGUAAAAAUACUUUUAGGCCAAAAUCCCACUUGUUUGUAGUCCUCUCCUAGCAUAACCCACCAAUUUCCACUUGUUGUAUCCUAUAGUCAAUAUUGAUAACAAAUAAAUAUAGUAAGAUAAUGAUAAAAUUUCGUAAAUAACGUUAUCAAUGUCAAGUUUUGCAGAAAAUAGUGAGAUUUUGCUAUAUUUUGAAACGUAGAAGCAUUUUGAUUAUUUCAAAAUGUAGCAGAACACAUAAACACGCACACAGACCAAUAGUGUAAAUCGAUAUCAUAAAAUACAUUUAUAUAUUGACAACAAAUAAAUGUAGUAAGAUAAUGAGAAAAUUUCGUAAAUAACAUUAUUAGCGUCAAUUUUUGUAAAAAAAAUAGUGAAAUUUUGCUAUAUUUUGAAACGUAGAAGCACUUUGAUUUCAAAAUGUAGCAGAACACAUAAACCUGUACACACAAACCAAUAGUGCAAAUUGAUCAUAAAAUACAUUUAUUGACAACAAAUAAAUGUAGUAAGAUAAUGAGAAAAUUUCGUAAAUAGCAUUACUAACGUCAAAUUUUGCAAAAAUCAUGAGAUUUUGCUAUAUUUUGAAAUGUAGAAACACUUUGAUUUCAAAAUGUAGCAGAACACAUAAACCCGCACACAAAUCAAUAGUGCAAAUCAUUCAUAAAAUACAUUUAUUGACAAAAAAUAUAUAUAGUAAGAUAAUGAGAAAAUUUUGUAAAUAGCGUUAUCAGUGUCAAUUUUUUUUAAAAAAAUAGCAAAAUUUUGCUAUACUUUGAAACAUCGAAGCACUUUGAUUUCAAAACGUAGCAGAACACAUAAAUAUGAAUUACCUGUUCAAGAUACAUUAGUUGUGAACUCACAGGUCCACCAAUUCUUGAAGGUACAAGUGGCAUUCCUAAAGGUAUAUCUGUGUCUACUAGGACAAAGCCAGAACAUAAUGUAUUAAAACAACCUGCGCUUCCAGCCUAUAAUAAUACAUAACCAAAACAAAAAGAAAAAAACAUUUAAUUAUAAUUAGUAAACAUUAAAUUUUGAUCAUAGAAAUUAAAUUUUGUUCAUAAUUACCUCAAAUUUUGCAUAAAGUCUUGGCUUAUUGUCACCAUUUAGAGUAGGAUGCACCUUCAUUAAGUUUGAAAAAUAAUAUAAAUUAGUAGUAUAUAUAUUAAUUAACUUAUAAAUAAAACGGAGAAUAUUGUCCUAUAAAUGAACCAAAUUUCGAUAGAAAGUCCAACAAAAAUUAGUGAUUUUUUCGAUAUUAUACAAAUUUCUAGUACACCAUCAGGUUUAUCAGAUGAGUUGUAACAACAUAUAAUCGUCGAUGAUAUAUCUAUUCUUUUCAAAUAUUGUCAGUGUAUAAAAUUUAAAUGCGUUUUCUAAUAAGAAGUAGAAGUGAGCUUACAAUCCAGCCAACUUCAAUGGCAUCACUUAGUCCAGCUUCAAGCCUAACACGAGCUCCACUAAACUGAUCUUUUUGAACAUUAAUUGGUGCAUGUAUAGUAGUAAUCAUGCCACCUCCAAGUAUUAUAUUUCUAUCAGAACUUGGAAUUUGUGUUUCUGCAUACUAAAAUCAAUAAAAAAUAAUAAUCCCAAAAUAAGACAAUUUAUAUGCAAAUGAUUCAAAGUGGACACUUGACGAUUUUUAUUCAGUGCAUAUCUGAACUUUACUUUGAUCUAAUUACCCUAAUUGAACUUGACGAGGUUAUCAAAUUUCCAUGUUCGGGGUAAAUUAUGCGAACAUAAAGUUUAGGUGUGCACUGAAUAAACAAAAAAAAAGGGGAGGGGGGGGGGGGGGAAAAAAAAAAAGGGGAAANNNNNNNNNNNNNNNNNNNNNNNNNNNNNNNNNNNNNNNNNNNNNNNNNNNNNNNNNNNNNNNNNNNNNNNNNNNNNNNNNNNNNNNNNNNNNNNNNNNNNNNNNNNNNNNNNNNNNNNNNNNNNNNNNNNNNNNNNNNNNNNNNNNNNNNNNNNNNNNNNNNNNNNNNNNNNNNNNNNNNNNNNNNNNNNNNNNNNNNNNNNNNNNNNNNNNNNNNNNNNNNNNNNNNNNNNNNNNNNNNNNNNNNNNNNNNNNNNNNNNNNNNNNNNNNNNNNNNNNNNNNNNNNNNNNNNNNNNNNNNNNNNNNNNNNNNNNNNNNNNNNNNNNNNNNNNNNNNNNNNNNNNNNNNNNNNNNNNNNNNNNNNNNNNNNNNNNNNNNNNNNNNNNNNNNNNNNNNNNNNNNNNNNNNNNNNNNNNNNNNUCAAUACACACCUGGUAAGGAUUUACAUCAUCUAGGGAAAUUGAUGCCUUAGAAUUGGUUAUGUUGUUUCCCUGCAUGAAGUACAAGUACACAUUAUUAUGUUAGAGAUUCAAAACUAGAAAAAAAUUGAAGGGGGAGGUAUUAUAUUAAAAAUAAAUCAUUUUUUAUGUAUUGACGAUGUAAAAAUGUUACAUAUUUGUAUGAUUAAUUUCGAUAAAAAUUCCCCAUAACGUCAUAAAAAUAAUCAUGUAAAUAGUAUUCGAUUAGAAGAAAUUACUCUCUCUUUGUAUUUCUUUGUCCUUUCGACUUACAUGACCAUUACGAUGACUUUUGUCCAUGCCUUGCAUAUGUUGGUGUCGAAUGAGAUCCUCUUUCGUAACUCUUUUAAUAGGAACAGUUCCACUAGGACAUCCAUCGCCUUCCAACCCAAUCUUUGAAGGUCUUUCAAAGAUCGAAGCCUUUGCAUCUAUUCUUGAUUUGGAUAAAGUAGGUUUCAUCUGCAUCAAAUUAAAAUACACAUAUUUUUGUCAUAAAAAUUACUAAAAUUGAAUAUAGAAGUAUAUACUACAAACAUACCUCUGGAUGAAAAUCAUGAUUCUGUAAUAGUGGAUGAUCAAAAGCAGGUUGCUUAUAAAAAUCUACGCAAUCGUAUACAUCUCCAUCAUUGGUCUACAAUCAACCAAAAAAAUUGAAUUUAUUUUUUUCCUUUUUUUAAAAAACAAUAAUAAUUUUGAUAUGCUUCAAAUAUUAUGAUAUAUAUCACCUUUAUAGUCUUGAUAGCUGGCUUAUUUAUAAGCUUUAAUUGCCUCUCCAAUUCUAAAUCUUCAACCUCAGAUAGGCUUUGUCUUGCUUCAAUUUUAGCAUAGCUCAACAACAGUGAAAUUGCAACAACAAUUUGUAAUAUCUACAUUUUGAGAAAUAAUUUAGCAACAUUAUGUUUAUUUUUUUUUGCCUUAUGUUAAAUUUUUGGUCUAAUUUAUUUAUAAUAUAAAUUCUCUGUCGUUAGGAAAAAGUCUUGUUUGCCCUUAACCCCCUAACGGAGUUUCAACUCAAGGAUAAUUUUAUACUAUAGUCAAAAGGUAAAGGGUAAAUUUGUAUUUUAUUUCUCGAAAAAAAUGGGCACAUGUAGACCCAUUUCAUGGUGAAGCAGUCCUCAAUAUAAUGGCAAAGGUUAAACACGAAACGAUUUGCUAUUAUCAAAAAUAUGAAUAAACCAUAAGUAUAACGUAUGAUAAUAUUGAACGAUUUUAGAUUUCAAAAAGCUUAAGAAAAUGAAUUUAUGAAAAGUUACCUGAUUUGACAUGAUGGUGUUGAAAUUUGACGCAAAAUGAAAAUACAUGUGAAAUACAACAUAUAUAUAUAUUUAUUGUACUAGUAGAAGAUGAGAGAGUAUUUAUUUGAAUAGUGUAAAAGUCAAAGUCAAAUGUUACAAUUAAUUUUCUAUAUUAUUAUUUUGGAUUUCUUAUAAAGGAGAUUUUUCUUGAAGGAUUCCAUUAAUUGUGAGAAUAUGAUGCUACUCCUUCCGGUUUUUUAGUUGUCAUAGUUUCAAUUUUUAGAGUCAAACAAUAUGAAUUUGACAAACAUUUUAAGAUAUUUUUCUUCAUCAUAUUGAUAUAAAAAAAGUUGCAAUUUAUAGUACUUUCCAUAUAGUUUUUGAAUAUCUAAAAUUUUAUUUUAAAAUAUCGAAUGAAUAUGUAAUCUAAUUUAGCUUUGAAAGUUAGUUAAAUUGACUUUCAAAAAGCUCAACAUGACAACUAAAAAGGAACGGAUGGAGUAUCAUUUUUGUGGUCAUGAUCUGUUCUAUGAUACAGAAGGUUAAUAAUUAAUUUCUGUAAAUGAAUUAAUUUUUUACUUUGAAAAAUUAGGUGCCUUUUUAAAUUUUAUAUGUUCAUAAUCUGAAAUUGUCUUUAAAAACCAUUUCCAUUUUAGCAAUAACACAAUGUUUAAUUGUUGAUCCUCAUAUAUCUCGAAGAAACAUCAAUCUCCUUCCCUCCUGAGUAUGUUCACGAUAAAAUGACUGAAGUUCAAUCAUACGUAACUUUAGACACUAUAUAUCUAAAAUUAUUUCAAAGUAGAUAAAUUUAUAAAUUUUUACAUAUGGCGAAGCAAGUAUGACUUAAAUUAUAAUCCCAAAAAUAAUUGCAUAUGUUAUAUAUGUUCACCUGGUCCUCCAUAUAACACUAAAUUACCAGAAUUAUCCCCAGAAUUUGGAUAAUCAAUAACCCUAUACAAAUUUGGACUAUUUGCAAAUAAUUUCACUUCAAUAUCAUCUAAAGAUUUAGUUUCAUUUUUAUUAGUUACGUAGGUACUUUUUCUACAAUAUCCAUCUUUUUUCAUAUCUCCAACUGGAAAAUAGCCACUGCCCAUAGAAGGUUCUGGUACACCUGGUGGACUAUACGCAACUCCUCCAAAUUCAGCACUUGUUGCAAAUCCAUUUAACUUUGUAAAUAUCUUUGAUGGCCAAAAUCCAACUAAUGUAUAGUUUGGUCCCAUUUUAAACCACCAAUUUCCAUUUGACAUGUCCUAUAUUAUAACCGAAAAGAAGAAAAAAAAAGUUAAGUUUCAUUAGUGCUCGAUAUAGAAUUUGAAGUUUGUGAGUUCCUAAUACGAUCACGUAAGUUCAUAUCAUACAAAAGAAUUGGACAUACAAUCAAAUAUUUAUAGAUAUUUAGUCGAUUUUUAAAAAUAUAUAUACAAUUUGAACAAAAGCUAAUGAUUCAGUAACGGCCCAGCCCUCUAAUGAUAUCGUCCUCUCUGGAUCUAGACCCGCACAACUUUGAAAUGCAUCACUAGUUGAUAAAAUCUGCUUACUUAUAUAUCCAACAUUUCUUCUGUGUUUUUGCUGACGUGGGACGACUUUUUUAUCUUAAGCUGGGACGUCACAGAUUCACAUGAACCCGUAACUUAUAAGCAAAAUCAUGCCUAAAGAGCGUUUCGUUCUUUAAUCGACCUUAUAAGACGUGAAUCCAAACUACUCAAAUCACAAAGUAUAAGACACCAGGUGAAAAAUCGAAAAAAAAUAUGUUAAAAGUAUAUGAAGAUGCACACUUACACGAGCAAUGUACAUUGGUAAAUCAUAAAUAGGUCCACCAUAAGUUGAGCCAGGAAGUUCCCCAUCUAAAGGUAUUGCAGUAUUUAUAUGUAUACAUCCAGGACAUCGAGUAUUAUAACAAGCUAAUUUUCCAGCCUGUCAUCGUAAGAAAAAAAUAAUCGAAUAUUAAUUAAUACAUCAAUUUUCAAGUAAAUCAUAACAUAAUUAGUUUUAAUACGAAAGAAGCACCUUAAAAUAUGUGUAUAAAUGUCUACAUAGAUAGGUGGAUUCACCUAAUAUAGAAUUUAGAGUUAGUAGAUAUACAGUCGCGAUUUAUAUAUAACCUGAGUUAAAGAUACUAAUACGAACUAAUUAGUAUUACAAAACUUACUGUCCAACCAACUUGUAUACGGUCGAUUUCAUUUUGAACCUUAAUACGACCUCCACUAUGUUGAUGUCCACUAAGAUUUUGAGGAUUAUGCAAGCUUAAAAUUGCUCCUGCUCCUGCCAUUUGAUUACUUGGAUUAUUUGGGAUUUUCACUACUGCAAACUGAAUUAAGCAAAAUCAUAACGAUCAGAAUAAGUGUGAUCUUAUUAUAUGUAUAUUUUUAAAUAUUAUUUUUUGCAUAUGUAUAUCGUAUAUAUAUAGUAAUAGAAUAUGGAUGAUAAAAACAUACAAACCUUGUAGCCUCCUCCAAAUUUUGUAUGAGAUUUGGUUACAUUUGAAGCAUUGAACUCUAUACCCUACAUAGAAAUAAUAACCAUAUAUAUUGUGAAUAAGAAUAUAAAAAGAGAAGCUUGAAUUUUUGAAAUUUUAAAAACUUGUAGAAAAUCUUGCAACAAACUCACAUCACCAUCAGGAGAAUCAUCUGCACCUCUAAUUUGUGAUAAAAGUUUUUGUUGUAUUAGAUCGUCUUUAGUAAUUCUUCUAAUAGGAACUGUUCCAGUAGGACAAUCUCCGCCUUUUAACCCUAUGUUAAAAGGUCUAUUAGUGUUUGAAGAAAUGCCAUCUUUUUGUAAAUUGGGCAAGGUAGGUUUCAUCUGCAUCCAAAAAGAUUAGUUUUAUGAGUUUCUAUAUAUGUACAACAAUUUUUUUUUCUUCAAAAUUUGAUUACAAAAAUCGGAUUAUACGAACUUGAAACUAGUGUAUAGAUAUAUACCUCUGGAUGAAAAUCGUGAUUUUUCAGUAAAGAAUGAUCGAAUGCAGGUUGUUUGUAAAAAUCCACACAAUCAUAUAUUUCUCCAUAUUUUCCCUACUUAACAACAAAUAAUAGCAAUUAUUGCCCAAUCUUAAUAUAAUAAACAUAGAUGUAGUGCAAAAUUACAUCUAAUAUUUUUUAUGUGAUUGUUCCUUAUGUACAUCUCAAUAGCUAACGUUACAAUUCUAAUCAUAGUGUCACGAGUUCGAAUCUCCAUAACCAUCCGAUUGUUGCAAUAUAAUGAGGUCUUUUUACUUUUUCAUCACGUACGUCAGACGAAAGAUGUUAUUUUCUUUAUAAUCUUCAUAAGAACAAUAGAGAUUGUACCUUAAUCGUCUUGAUUGCUGGCUUAUUAAGAAGCUUUAGUUGCUUCUCUAACUCUAAAUCUUCUGCUUCAACUUCAAAUUGGUUCAAAAAUAGAGAAAUUGCAACCAAAAAUUGUAUGAUGGCAUGGCACUUAGAUGCAAUGACAUUUUCCUAUGUAUCCAAUAUUGUAGUUGAUUAAUUUUUCUUUAAUUGUUACAACUCAUUUCAAGCAAAUAUACCAUUGAUUAUCAACAAGUUAAUAAAGAAAACAACAAAGUUAUGUCACAUUAAUUACCUAAUUUAUUAAGACUUGAACACAAGAUUAACUAAAAACUCCACAACUAAUAAGGGAUUUUAUACUAAUCAAAAUAGGAUAGGCUCGUUUUAAUACAAGUCCAUAAAAUUUGACCUUGUGAUAUUUUAUUUAAUGCAUUAUAAUAAGUGAUUAUAUUUGAAAUCAGGAUUUGAAGUUAAAAUUUGUUUAGACAUGCAAUAUACAUUUCUUAAAUUCAUUUUUUUUUAUAAACAUGAAAAACCCAUAAUUUGUAAAAAAACAUUAAAAAGAAAAUCUCCAACUCUUAUACCAAAUGAACAAACAAUAGUUUAUAAACAAAAUAUCGAAAUAUCUUAAGACACUGAUCAAUUAAUCACAUAUUUCUAUGUUUCUUUUAUUUAUGUUCACCUGGUCCUCCAUAUAGGACUAAAUUACCAGAUUCAACCCCAGAGUUUGGAUAAUCAGCAACUCUAUACAAAUUUGGACUAUUUGCAUAUAAUUUCACUUCAAUAUCAUCUAAAGAUUUUGUUUCAUUUUUAUCUGUUAAGUACGUACUAUUCUUACAAUAUCCAUCUUUUUUCAAGUCUCCAACUGGAAAAUAGCCACCGCCCAUAGAAGGUUCUGAUACACCUGGUGGACUAUAUACGAUUCCUCCAUAUUCAACACUUGUUGCAAAUUCAUUUAACUUUGUAAAUAUUUUUGAUGGCCAAAAUCCAACUGAUGUAUAGUUUGGUCCAAAUUUAAACCACCAAUUUCCAUUUGACAUGUCCUAUAAAUGGUAAAAGAAAAAAAAAAGUCAGACAAAUAACAAAAAAAGGUUAAGUUUAAGGAUUGAUAGUAUGCAUUAUUUAUAUAGUCAGAUCGCUUACAAAAUAAUUACAUGUUAUUCUAUAUAAUAAACAUUCAGUAGUAAUAUAGAAUAAAUGAUAAGUAACAUGCUAAAACAUUUCAAAGUACACAAAUAUAUAUAUAUAUAAUAAAGGAGAAACANNNNNNNNNNNNNNNNNNNNNNNNNNNNNNNNNNNNNNNNNNNNNNNNNNNNNNNNNNNNNNNNNNNNNNNNNNNNNNNNNNNNNNNNNNNNNNNNNNNNNNNNNNNNNNNNNNNNNNNNNNNNNNNNNNNNNNNNNNNNNNNNNNNNNNNNNNNNNNNNNNNNNNNNNNNNNNNNNNNNNNNNNNNNNNNNNNNNNNNNNNNNNNNNNNNNNNNNNNNNNNNNNNNNNNNNNNNNNNNNNNNNNNNNNNNNNNNNNNNNNNNNNNNNNNNNNNNNNNNNNNNNNNNNNNNNNNNNNNNNNNNNNNNNNNNNNNNNNNNNNNNNNNNNNNNNNNNNNNNNNNNNNNNNNNNNNNNNNNNNNNNNNNNNNNNNNNNNNNNNNNNNNNNNNNNNNNNNNNNNNNNNNNNNNNNNNNNNNNNNNNNNNNNNNNNNNNNNNNNNNNNNNNNNNNNNNNNNNNNNNNNNNNNNNNNNNNNNNNNNNNNNNNNNNNNNNNNNNNNNNNNNNNNNNNNNNNNNNNNNNNNNNNNNNNNNNNNNNNNNNNNNNNNNNNNNNNNNNNNNNNNNNNNNNNNNNNNNNNNNNNNNNNNNNNNNNNNNNNNNNNNNNNNNNNNNNNNNNNNNNNNNNNNNNNNNNNNNNNNNNNNNNNNNNNNNNNNNNNNNNNNNNNNNNNNNNNNNNNNNNNNNNNNNNNNNNNNNNNNNNNNNNNNNNNNNNNNNNNNNNNNNNNNNNNNNNNNNNNNNNNNNNNNNNNNNNNNNNNNNNNNNNNNNNNNNNNNNNNNNNNNNNNNNNNNNNNNNNNNNNNNNNNNNNNNNNNNNNNNNNNNNNNNNNNNNNNNNNNNNNNNNNNNNNNNNNNNNNNNNNNNNNNNNNNNNNNNNNNNNNNNNNNNNNNNNNNNNNNNNNNNNNNNNNNNNNNNNNNNNNNNNNNNNNNNNNNNNNNNNNNNNNNNAUAUAUAUAUAUAUUAAUUAUUAUUUUUAGAUUAUCAUUGGAUUAUAAAAUAUUUUAUGAUGAAUACGAUCAUUUCACCUUUAAUUAGAGUAUUUUGAAUUCGAGCUCAGAAUAUGAAAAAACAGAAGAAGGAAGAUUUACACAAAUGUCCUUGCUAUGCCUUAAUUUAGAUUUUGUCUGUCUUUGAAAGUUGUGCAAAUAUAGCUCUUAGGAUUCACAAAACAUUAUAUUGUUGUGUAGCGUAUGUCUACAAAACUUCAGAUACUAGUCUAACGUUUUCUCAUAAAAUUUACAGUUUGCUCAAAAAAAAUUAUAUGCAAUAGUCUAAAAAGUCUAUAAGUUGCAAGAGAAAUUAAAAAUGGUCGACAUUCACAAAGCAAUUAUCCCCAAAAAGAGACUAGACAAAAAUUGUGGAAGGAAUUUUGGUAAAGAGUGUUUCUCUUUUUAAUGAGUUCUACGUAACGUAGAUCCAAAUUAGUUAAGACCCCAAAACGGAUAACAGAUACUGAGUGGAAAACUUUAAAAAAUAGGGGAAGAUGCACACUUACAAGAGCAAUGUACAUUGGUACAUCAUAAAUAGGUCCACCAUAAGUAGAGCCAGGAAGAUCUCCAUCUAAAGGUAUUGCAGUAUUUAUAUGAAUAAAUCCAGGACAUCGAGUAUUAAAACAAGCUAAUUUUUCUGUCUGCAAUCAUAAAAAAAUAAUAUUAAUUAAUACAUCGACUUUCAAGCAAAUCAUAUCAUAAUUAGUUUUAAUACGAAAGAAGUUAAAGAAAAUUACCUUUAAAUACGUGUAUAAUCGUGUAUGAGUGUCUCCAUAGACAUAUGGAUUCACCUAACAUAAAUUUAUUAGGUAACUUUGAUUAGCAUAUAUAGUCCGAUGCAGGAUUUAGAGUCAGUAGAUACACUCACACAUAUAAUUACUCGAGUUGUAAUUAAAACUUACUAUCCAACCGACUUGUAUGCUUUCGAUCCCAUUUUGAACCUUAAUACGACCAGCACUAAAUUGAUGUCCACUAAGAUUUUGAGGAUUAUGUAAGCUAAUAAUUGCUCCUGCUCCUGUUAUUUUGUUUGUUGAGUUGUCUGGGAUUUGCACUGUUGCAAACUGAAAUAAAGCAAAAACACAACAUUUUUUAAGCCUCUAGUUAGUUGAUAUACAUAAAUUAUUAAACUAAUUAUACAUUGCUACACAUGUAUAUACAUAUAUUAUACAUUUGUUGGCUAUUUUUAAGGGGUGGACGGGUAUAAUGUGUUAGAAUAUCAAAAAUAUUAGUGUUUCGUAGCUAGAAUAUGGAAUAAUAAAAGCAUAUAAACCUUGCGUCCUCCUUUAAAAGGUGUACUUGAGUUGGUUCGAUCUAAAACACUGGAUUCUAUACCCUGCACAGAAAUAAUAAUCAUAUCUAUUGUGAAGAAAAAUAUGGAAAAAGUGUUUGAAUUUUGAAAUUCGAAAAAAAUUGUAGAAAUUUUUGCACUGAACUUACAUCACCAUCAGGGGAUUCAUCCGCGCCUCUAAUUUGUGAUGAGAGUGUUUGUCGUAUUAGAUCGUCUUUAGUAAUUCUUCUGAUAGGAACUGUUCCGGUAGGACAACCUCCGCCUUUUAACCCAAUGUUAAAAGGUUUGUUAAUGUGUGAUGAAGUGUCAUCUCCAUGUAAAUUGGGCAAGAUAGGUUUCAUCUGUAUCCAACAACAACAUAUUCAGUGAAAUUCCACAAGUGAAGUCUGAAGAGGGUUAAAUGUACACAAACCUUACACCUAGCUCGAGAGGUAGAGAGAUUGUUUCUUAAAUUUGUUUCAAAAUUUGAUUAUAAAAAUUAGAUUGUAUGAACUUGAAACUAGAGUAUAGAUGUACCUCGGGAUGAAAAUUGUGAUUCUUCAAUAGAGGAUGAUCGAAUGCAGGUUGUUUGUAAAAGUCCACACAAUCAUAUAUUUCUCCAUAUUUCCCCUGCUUAUCAAAUAGUAUACUACUAAUUAGUCUCCAAUCUUUAUAUAAACAUAGAUAUAGUACAAACUAUUAUUCUUAAUAUUUAUAUUGUGAUUGUCCCUUAUGGACAUCCAAAUCCCAAUAGCUAACAUAUUACGAUUCAAAUCGCAGUCGAGUUCAAAUCUUUAUGACCAUCUGAUUACUCUAGUACAGUAAGGUUAUUAUUAUUUCUCCAUCACUUUAGACGAAAUAAAUUAUUUUCUUUAAAAUCUUUAUAAAAUAGAGAUUGUACCUUUAUAGUCUUGAUAGCUGGCUUAUUUAUAAGCUUCAAUUGCCUCUCCAAUUCCAAAUCUUCAACCUUAGAUAGGCUUUGUCUUGCUUCAAUUUUGGCAUAGCUCAAUAAUAGUGAAAUUGCAACCACAAUUUGUAAUAUAGCUCUCAGAUGCAUCAAUGAUUUCUACAUUAAUUUGAGAAAUAAUUAAGCAAACUUUUGGAUUAGAAAUAUAUACAUAAAUGACCCAAAGAAAGAAUUAGAAUAGAAAUAUAUAUAAAUGACCACCUCAAUUUCAUGGAAACACACAACAAAAAUUCAAAAUUCAUGGGAUACAUGUCAACUCUCACCAGCAGUAAACACCACCAAAAAAAUUCAAAGCAUACGAAAAUGAAUUUCUGAAAAGUUACCUGAUGUGACAUGACUCUUGAGAUGAUAUUUGUAACAAAAUACAAAUGAAUCUAAACUUAAACUAGUAUAUUAGUUGAAGAUGGGGAAGUAUUUAUUUAAAUGGUGCAAGUAAAAAUAGUAAUGUUACAAUUAACUUUCUACAUUUUGGAUUUAUUAUAAAGGGAAUAAAUUUACGAGAAUCUGAAAUCAUUUUUUUGGACAUCUUUUUGAUGAUGCAGAUAAGGUAAACUAGUAAGUAAUUCAUUUCUUAUAAAUGUGUUUUGACUAAUUUUAUAAACUGAUUAAAUUAGCUUAUAAAUAUAUAUAUAUAUAUAUAUAUAUAUAUAUANNNNNNNNNNNNNNNNNNNNNNNNNNNNNNNNNNNNNNNNNNNNNNNNNNNNNNNNNNNNNNNNNNNNNNNNNNNNNNNNNNNNNNNNNNNNNNNNNNNNNNNNNNNNNNNNNNNNNNNNNNNNNNNNNNNNNNNNNNNNNNNNNNNNNNNNNNNNNNNNNNNNNNNNNNNNNNNNNNNNNNNNNNNNNNNNNNNNNNNNNNNNNNNNNNNNNNNNNNNNNNNNNNNNNNNNNNNNNNNNNNNNNNNNNNNNNNNNNNNNNNNNNNNNNNNNNNNNNNNNNNNNNNNNNNNNNNNNNNNNNNNNNNNNNNNNNNNNNNNNNNNNNNNNNNNNNNNNNNNNNNNNNNNNNNNNNNNNNNNNNNNNNNNNNNNNNNNNNNNNNNNNNNNNNNNNNNNNNNNNNNNNNNNNNNNNNNNNNNNNNNNNNNNNNNNNNNNNNNNNNNNNNNNNNNNNNNNNNNNNNNNNNNNNNNNNNNNNNNNNNNNNNNNNNNNNNNNNNNNNNNNNNNNNNNNNNNNNNNNNNNNNNNNNNNNNNNNNNNNNNNNNNNNNNNNNNNNNNNNNNNNNNNNNNNNNNNNNNNNNNNNNNNNNNNNNNNNNNNNNNNNNNNNNNNNNNNNNNNNNNNNNNNNNNNNNNNNNNNNNNNNNNNNNNNNNNNNNNNNNNNNNNNNNNNNNNNNNNNNNNNNNNNNNNNNNNNNNNNNNNNNNNNNNNNNNNNNNNNNNNNNNNNNNNNNNNNNNNNNNNNNNNNNNNNNNNNNNNNNNNNNNNNNNNNNNNNNNNNNNNNNNNNNNNNNNNNNNNNNNNNNNNNNNNNNNNNNNNNNNNNNNNNNNNNNNNNNNNNNNNNNNNAUAUUUGGUAAAUACUAAAAUGUUACAAGUCAAAAGUCAUAAGGUUAAUCCUAAACUUAUGAUUUUAUACCUAAUAAAUAUUUUUGGUUUGACCAAAUAUUUUACGAUUUUAUUGCUGAUAUUAUUUGUAAUCUUUGAAAUACUCUUCCUAAAUCAUAUUAUUUAUUUAUCUUUCUAUUCUAUUUUCAACAAAAAAAAAAGAAUUAAAAUUAUAUAUAUGUUGGGCUCAGCCAGUCCAAAGAUACUUUUACAUAGUGUGAUAUUGUUCACUUUGGGCCAAACUCACAUGGUUUUCCCCCAAUGGGCCUCACACCAGAGAUCAUACACUUUAUAUGAGCUUUCCAAUCUUUUUAGUUAGCUAUCAAUGCGGAACACUGGAACUUUUGUUUGCAAACCCGACAAUUGCCCCCUUGAACUAAGUUCCACGUGGCCUAUCACCAUUAUCCAUGAGUCAAUUUUUUUAUAUUUACUGUAUAUCACCCAUAUCAUUUUAGUAGGCAAUCGAAUCCCACAACUAUCUUCUUCUUGUGUGUGCAUCUCUGAUAAGAAUCAACGGGGCAAGUGAAAGAAAAAAAAACAUAUGUGGAUUAAUAUUAAGAAAUUGAAAUUAUGGGUUGCCCCUUAUAGACAUCCCCAAUUGGUUAUAAGGCAUUGAUUCAAGUUCACAUGAUAUACACACAUCUAAUACAGAUAUUAUAAAGGCUGCGAGACAAAUUGGUGUAGACCUAGGUUCAAAAGGACAAUAUGUGUCAUGAGCUUGAGUCGUGACAAAUAUGGUAUUACAAUUUGUACUCUCUUACGUCGGUGGGCCAAACCCCCUUUUGAAGAUCACAUGCACAUGACAGCUUAGGUAAAUCGAAUGUGAGAGGAACCUGUUUCUCAAAUGCACCGACAUUUUUCUGCAUAUCAUAUUGUAGAGAUGCAAGCCAAAUGUGUUUAACUAAUUGUUCUUCAAUUUUUACAAUUCAUUUCAAGCAAGUUUACUAGGGUUAUGUCACACGAAUUACCUGAUUUACUGAGAUUCUGAACACAAAAAUACAAGAUGAACAAAAAAGCUAGAAACUAAUAAGGGAUUUAUACUAACCAAAAUAGGAUUAACUUCUUUUUAAUGUUUCAAGUCACCUAUCUAACCUUGGGGUUUUUUAUUUAACGCAUUAGUAUAAUGAUUGGAUUACAUCUAACCAAUUAAUACAUGUUUUGGUGAUAGAGGGAACUGAUACUUUUUGACUAUUGUUGAUUUAUACAUUUGCUGAGAAAUAAUUUGUGUUUGAUUAAUUAAUUGGAGAAACACUAUUAAGCAUAAUUACUGUACGACCAAGCUUUUUAAAACUUACUUCUCACAUUGAUACUCUUAGAUAUACAAUAUAAGAUAAACUUCUUUGAUACUCUUUGAAUAUACAAUAUAACACUUCAUUCUAGUCAUUGUUUCUCACAUUGAUCCUUUAUCAAUACUUCUCAAAUGCCCCACAUCAAUAUACUACACUUAUAACUCGGGAACAUAUGAGUGGCACACAUGCUACUUCUCAAAAGCUCAACAUCAACAUACCACACUCAUGACUAGAGAACUUGUGAGUGACACACACCUUGAGUUCACCACAAGUCCUUGCUUAACUUAUUUGAUACUCUUAGGGGUCGUUUAGUGUGAGGGAUAAAAAUAAAUAGUGAUGGGAUAAAAUUUUUGUAUCUUGUUUGGUUGCCAUGUUUGGGAUAACUUAUCUCACCAUUUAUAUCUUAGUGUGAUGGGAUAAGCUAUCUCAUAUACAUGAUGGGAUAAGUUAUCCCAGAAUAGUUAACCCCAGGAUAUAUAACUUAUCCUAGGAUAACUAGUUCCCAACCAAAUGACCCCUUAGGAUAUAAUCUCGCAUUGACCAUCUUCCAAAUACUUCUCAAAAGUCCAAUGGCAACACACCACACUCACACAAUUGACGCUUGUGCAACCAAGGCUUGGUUAACCUAACAAGUAUAUUCAUUAAUGAAAAAAUCAUUUCCUAUAUACUAAAUUUCAAUAGCCAUUACGAAAAAACAUAAAAGGUUGUGUUGAUGUCCACAAUAAUUUUGGUUUUUGGGAUAAAAAUAUAACAGGUUUCACUUUUGGACCUUACAAAAGCUUUUGAUUUGGUGACAACUAAUUUGGGCUUCUCGAUGAGGGAGGAUUACUUGGUGACUUUUCAUAGUACAAUGGCUAAGACUUGAAUGAAUUUCUUAUUCCUUAAAAAGUGUGAUAGAAGUUUGUGUAAGGAUUGUAAGGGUAUCCUAAAUGAAUAUCUUACGACUUAACAUAAGAUUUUGACAACAAAUUUAGAGAUUAAGGAGAAGAGGAGGGAUCUAUAUGGCCUCCUAAGAAUCACAUAAGUGGCUUAACUACAACUAGAGCUCAAAAGAGAGGGUUAAGAUGAUUGAGAUGGGAGCUUGGGAUCUCGAGGGGCAACACGAGUGGACAUAGAAGGGAUAGGUCCAGAGGGCCUCUUCAUAUCCAAGAGGCUAACAAACUUCUCACCAUUUUCUAGUUUUUCCUACUACUAUCUUAUUCUUUUAUUUUAUUACUUGUUAAUUCUUUUGCUUCAGUUACGUCUUAUUUGUUGUUUUAAUGAUGUUCUUAUCCUUUAUCCUUAGCACAAUCUCUUCAUUACAAUAUUUUUUCUCCAUACUUGAGUUUGAUAUUUUAUUUUAUUUAGCAAUAUAUAGGGAACUGUGUAUUAACAAAAUUUCAUCAUUCAAACAAUGAUGAGAGUGACACUUACAUCCCAUAGGGUAAAAACUGAAGGCCAUAAGAACUAAUCUAUGGAGCUUUACAAUUUCCCUAUAAAAUCAACAAAAGUUCUAUAUCCCCACCAUAUCCCGUUUACACCAAAAAUAAAGAAGACUAAGACAAUUCAUUCUGAUAUUUUGAAUGUUGUUGUUUUUGUCUUCAAAACCUAUUGCAUUUCUUUCCUUCCAUAAUGUCCACUAGUCCUCUUCUGACUCUCUUCUUCCAAUCUCUUUCCAAUAAUCCAUCAUACUUUUAGUAAUUUUGGGAACAGCUCAACUCACUCCCAGUAUACACAAGAACAUGUUCCACAAAUUUGCAAUUGUUUUUCAAUGUAGAAAUAAAUGGCUAUUUAUUUCAACAUCCUGAUCACACAUAAAACAAGUAAAUAUGUCUACCUCUUCUCUAUAGUACUUUAUGAGUCAAACAAGCUUUUCUAUAGACUAACCACACAAAACAAGAAACUUUUAAGGGGACUUUGGCUUUCCAUAUUAUCUUCCAAGGCCAGUUCCUAAUCUGUAGUUGGCUAGUAUAUCUCCUCCAAUAACAUAAUUUCACAAUGAACUCACAUUUGUUGUGAAAUUUCCAUAUUGGUAUGUCAGGUGCAUUGGUAGUUCCAUUGAAAUCAUUUAUUAUCAUAAGCAAAUCUACAACUCUUUGAACCUCCCAAUAAUUUAAGGCCCUUCUAAAGUUGAAAUUCCAGCCUUGUAUCUAUAGUGACCCUAGUCUGUUCACCGAGAAGGAACAAAUUUUUUAAGCUCAUUUCACCUAUCCAAAGUUCAUUCUAGAACUCAAUCUUAAAGCCAUUACUCACAGUGAGUUAAAUAGUUUUUUGAAACUGGGGCCAAAGUCUCCAAACAGUCUUCCAAACACUACACCCAAAAGUUCUAAGGACAUCUUUAGUAAUCCAAUGACUUUGAAGUCUAUAUUUCUCAACUCACUCCAAGUAUACACGAGCAUGCUCCACAAAUUUGCAAUUGUUUUUCAAUGUAGAAAUAAAUGGCUAUUUAUUUCAGCAUCCUUAUCACACAUAAAACAAGUAAAUAUGUCUACCUCUUCUCUAUAGUACUUCAUGAGUCAAACAAGCUUUUCUACAUACAAACCACACAAACAAGAAACUUUUAAGGGGACUUUGGCUUUCCAUAUUAUCUUCCAAGGCCAGUUCCUAAUCUGUAGUUGGCUAGUAUUUCUCCUCCAAUAACUUCGCAAUGAACUCACAUUUGCUGUGAAGUUUUCCAUACUGGUUUAUCAGGUGCAUUGGUAGUUCCAUUGAAAUAAUUUAUUAUCAUAAGCAAAUCUACAACUCUUUGAACCUCCCAAUCAUUAAAGGCCUUUCUAAAGUUGAAAUUUCAACCUUGUAUCUAUAGUGGCACUAGUCCGUUGACCAAAGAGGAUAAAAAAUUUAAACUCAUUUCACUUAUUCAAAGUUCAUUCCAGAACUCAAUCUACAAGACAUUACUCACCUUGAGUUGAAUAUUUUUUUUGAAAUUGGGGUCAGAGUCUCCAAAUAGUCUUCCAAAUACUACAACCAAAAGUUCUAAGGACUUCUUUAGUAAUCCAAUGACUUUGAAGUCUAUAUUUCUCAACUCACUCCAAGUAUACACAAGAACAUGUUCCACAAAUUUGCAAUUGUUUUUCAAUGUAGAAAUAAAUAGCUAUUUAUUUCAGCAUCCUGAUCACACAUAAAACAAGUAAAUAUGUCUACCUCUUCUCUAUAGUACUUCAUGAGUCUAUCAAGGUUUUCUACAGACUAACCACACAAAACAAAAAACUUUUAAAGGGACUUUGGCUUUCCAUAUUAUCUUCCAAUGCCAGUUCCUAAUUUGUAGUUGGCUAGUAUUUCUCCUCCAAUAACUUCAUAGUGAACUCACCUUUGUUGUGAAGUUUCCAUACUGGUUUGUCAGGUGCAUUGGUAGUUCCAUUGAAAUCAUUUAUUAUCAUAAGCAAAUCUACAACUCUUUGAACCUCCCAAUCAUUAAAGGCCCUUCUAAAGUUGAAAUUUCAACCUUGUAUCUAUAGUGGCCCUAGUUCGUUAACCAAAGAGGAUAAGAAAUUUAAACUCAUUUCACUUAUUCAAAGUUCAUUCCAGAACUCAAUCUACAAGCCAUUACUCACCUUGAGAUGAAUAUUUUUUUUGAAAUUGGGCCAGAGUCUCCAAAUAGUCUUCCAAAUACUACAACCAAAAGUUCUAAGGACAUCUUUAGUAAUCCAGUGACUUUGAAGUCUAUAUUUCUAAAUGAUGAUCCUUUUCCAUAAAGUAGGGGUGUGCAUUAUUCGGAUUAAACUGAAUAACCAAACCAAAUUAAACCGAAUUUUAUUUGGAUUGGUUUUUUGGUUUUUCGGAUUGGUUUUGGAUUAAUAAAUUACUUUUUUUGGUUUGGUUUUGAAUUUUAAAAGAUAAAAACCAAAAAACCGAAAAAACCCGAAUUAUAUGUGUGUGUGUGUGUGUAUAUAUAUACACACAUGUAUAUAAAUGCUUAGGUUUAGAAUUAAGUUGGAGUUAACCACUUAUGUCCCUUUUUGGUUAUUGUCUUUCAUCAUGAUUACGUUUAUAUUUUAUAUUUUAUAUUUGAAUAUCUAUAAUAGGUAUAAUUAUAAGUAUUGUGUUUUAAGUUUUACUUAUUAUUUAUAUUAUAAAGUAUAUUUAAGAGAUUCAAUAUUAUUACUUUGGUUAUGUUAUUAAUUAUUGACAUAACCGAAUAACCAAACCGAAAAAAACCGAACCGAAUAGAGGAAAACCAAAUCAAACCAAAUUUAUUUUGGAUCGAAUUGGAUUACGCUUUUACAAAAUCAAAAACCAAAAAAUCCAAACCGAAAAACCGAAUGCACACCCCUACAUAAAGGGGUAUCCUAAUCACAGAGCCUCCCUAUCUUCACAAGCUAAAGAUUAAAAUUGCAUCCACCACCCUCUCUAAACCCCAUAUGUGAGACUAUAUUAGAUUUAUUGUUACAUACUAAAAAUAGCAUCAUAUCCAAAGUAUAAGCUACGAGUUCACAAAAUCCAAUAAACUUAACACAAACCUUGUUUAUAUAGUAAAUUAAUCAUUCAAUAACACCAUAAAAUUUUGAUUGUGAACACAAUCAUAAUUGGACAUUGAUUUAAGAUAGAUAAACAACAAUUCAAAAUCAAUAAAUUUUAAAUCUUGAAAUCGACUCACUAGCAAUAAUAUAUAAUAGAAUUUCAACCACAGUAAUCAUUUCAUUUGAACCAUAGUUGCAAAAUCCAAGGGGAAAAGAAAAGCAAAAUUCACAACAGAUUUUUUCCAUUUUUUCAAAGGGCUACAAAUGGCCUGAAAAUAUCAAAUACUUAGCCAUACAAAACACAAAAUCAUACCCUUAAUCCAAACAUAACCCUAAAUCCCCAAAAACACUUAGUAAAUUGUCAUAACAAAACCACUAAAUUUCCCAAUUAAACAAAAUAAAAUUAAAAUUUAUCACUUAAUUUUCUCAAUAUUUCAGAAAAGACCUUGUCCAUAUCAAGUGCCUUCAUAGGUCCAAAUGGCCUCUUCAUAUCCAAUACUUGAGUUUGAUUAUUUUUUUUUAGCAAUAGGUAACUAUAUAUUCACAAAAUUCCAUCAUUCAAACAAUGAUGAGAGUGAACACUUACAUCCCAUAGGGUAAAAAUUGAAGGUCAAAAGAACUAGUCUAUGUAGCUUUACAGUUUUCCUUUAAAAUCAACAAAAAGUUCUAUAUCCCCCCACCAUAUCCUGUUUACACCAAAAUAUAGAAAACUAAGGCAAUUCAUUCUGAUUUUUCGUAUGUUGUUGCUUUUAUCUUCAAAGCCUAUUGCAUUUCUUUCCUUCCACAAUGCUCACCAGAUGCUUGUAGGGAUCAAUUCCCACCAGUCCUCUUCUGUCAAUCUAUUUCCAACAGUCCAUCAUACUUUUAGUAGUUUAGGGAACAACCCAACUCACUCCAAUUAUACACAAGAACAUGUUCCACAAAUUUGUAAUUGUUUUACAGUGUAGAAAUAAAUGGCUAUUUUAUUUCAGCAUCCUGAUCACACAUAAAAUAACUUGAGCAUAUUUGUCUACCUCUUCUAUGUAGUACUUCAUGAGUCAAACUAGCUUUUCCAUAGACUAACCACACAAAAUAAGAAAAUUUUAAGGGGACUUUGGCUUUCCAUAUUAGCUUCCAAGGGCAGUUCCUAAUGUGUAGUUUUCUCCUCCAAUAGCAUAACUUCACAGUGAACUCACCCUUGCUGUAACGUUUCCACAUUGGUCUGUCAAAUGCAUUGGUAGUUCCAGACAUUACAUUCAAAAAUUCUAAGGACAUCUUCAGUGAUCCAGUGACUUUGAAGUCCAUAUUUCGCAAUGAUGAUUCUUCUAUAAAGGCCAGUUCAUAAUGUGUAGUAAGCCAAUAUUUCUCCUACAAUAGCAUAACUUCACAGUGAACUCACCCUUGUUGUGAAGUUUCCACAUUAGUCUGUCAAAUGUAUUGGUAGUUCCAUUGAAAUCAUUUAUUACCAUAAGCAAAUCUACAACUCUUUGAACCUUCCAAUCAUUUAAGGCCCUUCUAAAGUUGAAAUUCCAACCUUGUAUAUAUAGUGGCCCUAGUCUAUUGACCGAGGAGGAACAUAAAUUUUAAACUUAUUUCACCAAUCCAAAGUUCAUUCCAGAACUCAAUCUUCAAGUUAUUACUCACCUUAAGUUAGAAUAUUUUUUUGAAACUAAGGCUUGAGUCUCCAAAUAGUUUUUCCCAAACACUACAUUCAAAAGUUCUAAGGAUAUCUUCAGUGAUCCAGUGACUUUGAAGUCCAUAUUUCUCAAAAUGAUUCUUUUCUAUAAAGGCCAGUUCCUAAUGUGUAGUAAGCAUUAUUUCUCCUCCAAUAGCAUAACUUCACAGUAAACUCACCCUUGUUGUGAAGUUUUCACAUUGGUCUGUCAAAUGCAUUGGUAAUUCCAUUGAAAUCAUUUAUUACCAUAAGCAAAUCUACAAUUCUUUAAAACCUUCCAAUUAUUUAAGGCCCUUCAAAAUUUGAAAUUCCAACCCUGUAUCUAUAGUGGCCCUAGUCUAUUGAUCGAGGAGGAACAUAAGUUUUAAGCUUAUUUCACCUAUCCAAAGUUCAUUCCAGAACUCAAUCUUCAAGUCAUUACUCACCUUAAGUUGAAUUUUUUUGAAAUUGGGGCCUGAGCCUCCAAAUAGUUUUCCAGACACUACAUUCAAAAAUUCUAAGGACAUCUUCAGUGAUCCAAUGACUUUGAAGUCCAUAUUUCACAAUGAUGAUUCUUUUCUAUAAAGGCCAGUUCAUAAUGUGUAGUAAGCCAAUAUUUCUCCUCCAAUAGCAUAACUUCACAGUGAACUCACCCUUGUUAUGAAGUUUCCACAUUGGUCUGUCAAAUGUAUUGAUAGUUCCAUUGAAAUCAUUUAUUACCAUAAGCAAAUCUACAACUCUUUGAACCUCCCAAUCAUUUAAGGCCCUUCUAAAAUUGAAAUUUCAACUUUGUAUCUAUAGUGGCCCUAGUCUAUUGACCGAGGAGGAACAUAAAUUUUAAACUUAUAUCACCAAUCCAAAGUUCAUUCCAGAACUAAAUCUUCAAGUCAUUACUCACCUUAAGUUAGAAUAUUUUUUUGAAACUGAGGCUUGAGUCUCCAAAUAGUUUUUUCCAAACACUACAUUCAAAAGUUCUAAGGACAUCUUCAGUGAUCCAGUGACUUUGAAGUUCAUAUUUCUCAAAAUGAUUCUUUUCUAUAAAGGCCAGUUCCUAAUGUGUAGUAAGCAAUAUUUCUCCUCCAAUAGCAUAACUUCACAAUGAACUCAACCUUGCUGUGAAGUUUCCACAUUGGUCUAUCAAAUGCAUUGGUAGUUCCAUUGAAAUCAUUUAUUACCAUAAGCAAAUCUAUAAUUCUUUAAAACCUUCCAAUUAUUUAAGGCCCUUCUAAAUUUGAAAUUCCAACCCUGUAUCUAUAGUGGCCCUAGUCUAUUGAUCGAGGAGGAACAUAAGUUUUAAUCUUAUUUCACCUAUCCAAAGUUCAUUCCAGAACUCAAUCUUCAAGUCAUUACUCACCUUAAGUUGAAUAUAUUUUUGAAAUUGGGGCCUGAGCCUCCAAAUAGUUUUCUAGACACUACAUUCAAAAGUUCUAAGGACAUCUUCAGUGAUCUAGUGACUUUGAAGUCCAUAUUUCGCAAUGAUGAUUCUUUUCUAUAAAGGCUAGUUCAUAAUGUGUAGUAAGCCAAUAUUUCUCCUCCAAUAGCAUAAAUUCACAGUGAACUCACCAUUGUUGUAAAGUUUCCACAUUGGUCUGUCAAAUGUAUUGGUAGUUCCAUUGAAAUCAUCUAUUACCAUAAGCAAAUCUACAACUCUUUAAACCUCCCAAUCAUUUAAGGCCCUUCUAAAGUUGAAAUUCCAACCUUGUAUAUAUAGUGGCCCUAGUCUAUUGACCGAGGAGGAACAUAAAUUUUAAACUUAUUUCACCAAUCCAAAGUUCAUUCCAGAACUCAAUUUUCAAGUCAUUACUCACCUUAAGUUAGAAUAUUUUUUUGAAACUGAGGCUUGAGUCUCCAAAUAGUUUUUUCCAAACACUACAUUCAAAAGUUCUAAGGACAUCUUCUGUGAUCCAGUGACUUUGAAGUCCAUAUUUCUCAAAAUGAUUCUAUUCUAUAAAGGCCAGUUCCUAAUGUGUAGUAAGUCGUAUUUCUCCUCCAAUAGCAUAACUUCACAAUGAACUCACCCUUGCUGUGAAAUUUCCACAUUGGUCUGUCAAAUGCAUUGGUAGUUCCAUUGAAAUCAUUUAUUACCAUAAGCAAAUCUACAAUUCUUUAAAACCUUCCAAUUAUUUAAGGCCCUUUUACAUUUGAAAUUCCAACCCUGUAUCUAUAGUGGCCCUAGUCUAUUGACCGAGGAGGAACAUAAAUUUUAAACUUAUUUCACCAAUCCAAAGUUCAUUCCAGAACUCAAUUUUCAAGUCAUUACUCACCUUAAGUUGAAUAUUUUUUUGAAACUGGGGCCUGAGUCUCCAAAUAGUUUUCCAAACACUACAUUCAAAAGUUCUAAGGACAUCUUCUGUGAUCCAGUGACUUUGAAGUCCAUAUUUCUCAAAAUGAUUCUAUUCUAUAAAGGCCAGUUCCUAAUGUGUAGUAAGUCGUAUUUCUCCUCCAAUAGCAUAACUUCACAAUGAACUCAACCUUGCUGUGAAGUUUCCACAUUGGUCUAUCAAAUGCAUUGGUAGUUCCAUUGAAAUCAUUUAUUACCAUAAGCAAAUCUACAAUUCUUUAAAACCUUCCAAUUAUUUAAGGCCCUUUUACAUUUGAAAUUCCAACCCUGUAUCUAUAGUGGCCCUAGUCUAUUGAUCGAGGAGGAACAUAAGUUUUAAGCUUAUUUCACAUAUCCAAAGUUCAUUCCAAAACUCAAUCUUCAAGUCAUUACUCACCUUAAGUUGAAUAUUUUUUUGAAACUGGGGCCUGAGUCUCCAAAUAGUUUUCCAAACACUACAUUCAAAAGUUCCAAGGACAUGUUCAGUGAUCUAGUGACUUUGAAAUCCAUAUUUCUCAAUGAUGAUUAUUUUUUUUAUAAAGGCAUAUCCUCACCAUAGAUCUCCCUAUUUUCAUAAGCUAAAAGAUUAAAAUGGUGUCAACUAUCCUUUUCAGACCCAUAUGUGAGAUUAUACUAAAUUUGUUGUUACAUGCUAAAAAUAGAAUCACAUCCAAAGUAUAAGCUAUAGGUUCACAAAAUCCAAUAACUUUAACACAAACCUAGUUUAUAGAGUAAAUUAAUCAUUCAAUAACACCAUAAAAUUUUGAUUGUGAACACAAUCAUAAUUGGGCAUUAAUUUAAAAUAGAUAAACAACCAUUCAAAAUCAAUAAAUUUCAAAUCUUGAAAUCGACUCACUAGCAAUAAUAUAUAAUAAAAUUUCAACCACAGUAAUCAUUUCAUUUUAAGCAUAGUUGCAAAAUGCAAGGGGAAAAGAAAAGCAAAAUUUACAACAAUUUGUUUCCAUAUUUUUUCAAAGGGCUCAAAUGGAUUGAAAAUAUCAAGUACUUAGCCAUACAAAACACAAAAUCAUACCCUUAAUCCAAACAUAAUCCUAAAUCCCCAAAAACACUUAGUAAAUUGUCAUAACAAAACCACCAAAUUUCCCCAUUAAGCAAAAUAAAAUUAAAAUUUAUCACUUAAUUUUCUCAAUAAUUUCAGAAAUGACCUUGUCCAUAUUAAGUGCCUUCAUAGGUCCAAAUGGCCUCUUCAUAUCCAAAAGGCUAACAAACUUCUCCCCCUUUUCACCAUCGACCCGGAUUUCAAGACAACCCCUUCUCGGCUUUUCCGGGUUGACCCGAACCUCCAAGCCGGGUACCCCUUUUUCCAGCUCCUCCUUCACCUUCACAGCCCGAAUCUUGAACUGACUGCACUGUGUACAGUGCUCAACAACAACAAUCUUCUUCGACCCGGAAUCAACUGGAGCCUUCACUUUCGAUUUCGCCUCAGAAACGGUACCCUUUUUGACCCGUUUUGGUUUUGGUGAAACCGGGUCAACUGAAACGGGUUUCGAGUUGCCAUUCCUGGUUUGGCUACGGGUUACACGUGUCGACAAUGGCUCUCCCACAGUUGCCUUUCUCUUUGGUGCCAUUAGAGAGAUUUCUAGGGUUUGUUUUUUUGCUGUAUUUUGGGGAUUUUUGAGAAAAACGAAGGGAGAGUUGUGUUAUUUAUAGGCCAUUUUUCUUUUGUCUUUGGAUAUUAAUUUUCCCGCGCUUUUUGAUGGCUGGAUUAAUUCAGACUAUUUUUUUUAAGACAAAAUACUUCAUUUGUCCCUAAUUACGUUCAUAAUUACUUGUUCACUUUUGAUUUGAUAUACCUAUUAAAAAAAAUAAUUGACAUAAUAAGUUUACCAUUUUACCUUUAUUAAUUAUGAGGUUGAUGAAUUAAAAAUUUAAGAUUUUUAAAAAGUUCUACCUUUUUUUCAAAGUUAAUUAAUUGAGGGUAUAAAAAAAAAAAUUAUCCUUUCUUGAUUUGUGAAAAUGAACAUGUAAAAAAGAAAAAUUUGACAAGUAAUUUGGAAUAGAGCGAGUAAUAAUAUUACCACUUUUGGGGGACUAGCACAUGGAUUUCUUUCCUUAUUUAAAAAAAUAAAUAAAGUAAUUUACAUAAGUAAAAUAAGUGAGAUCUGAAAUUCUAAAGUUAAAUAGUUAAAUACUUUAUGAAUUUUACUAAAAUAGGAUUAGUAAGUGUGAAUAUAAUUAUAAUAAACAUAAUUUUAUACCAAAAUCUUUGAUUUUUUAAUUAUAAUAAUCAAAUAAUAUUCUCCACUUGCAUAAACUAAACUAAAAACAUUAAUUCUGUCCUUUUUUUGGAGUCCAAGUGACAGUAUUCCCAACUUUUGGGGAUUAAGACAUGAAUUUUUUUUCCAUUUAAAAAAAAAAAAAAAGAUCUAACUUGGUAAUAUUUUAAUAUACUUGAUGAAUUUUACUAAGUUAGGAUUAGUAAGUGUGGAUAUAAUUUGAAAAAAACAUAUAUAAUAUACCAAAAUAUUUCAAUUUUUUAAAAAAAUAAUUAAAUUACAUUCUCCACCUGCGUGAACUAAAUAAGCCUAAGAAUUCAUGAAAAUGAUUUCCAAUUAGGGAGUAAUACAAUUUUACAUGAAACUAGUAUAUCAGCUUCAUGUAUAUAUAAUUUUGUAAAAUAAUAUCUUGUAAAAUAAUAUCAAUAUUAUUAAAAUAAAAAAUUGAAUUUAUAAAUAUACUUUAAAGAAUAAAGUAUAUUUUUUGUGAAUAAACAAUGUGAAUUGUGGUAGAGUUACUUAUUUGUCGAGGUUAAGAUGAUUGAAUAUUGUUUGAACAUGAAGAAAUAAACAAUUGAAGUUGAGGGAUAACUUUCUUAGAAAGAUCAUUUUCUUCAACGACAGUUGUAGAAAUGAGGAUGUUGUGAUAUGGAUAUAUUAGGAGAAAUAAAAUAGGAAUGAGAAUAUACUGAAGGACAAGAUGGAAAUAAGAUUGAGAUUGUUCAGACAUGUGAAGAGGAGAUACACAUAUGCUCCACCGUGGAGGUGAGAGAGGUUUGUUAUAGGUGGUUUCAAGAGAGGUAAAAGGAAGUCAAAAGAGUAUUGAGAUAGGUAAUUAGACAAAACUUGGUGCAGUAUCAGUUUACCGAGGGCUUCACCUUAGAAAAGAAGUUUGUGGAGGACACAAAUUAGAAUAGAAGGUUAGUAGGAAGUAGUGUGUAGUCUUGCUAUUUGUUCAUACUAGUAGUCGUACUAUUACUCCUUUAAUUUAUUUUCAUUUUAUUUAUGUUAUUAUCUUUGUUGCUUGUACUUCAAUUAACGUAAUAUUUUAUUUUGGUAUACUUUCCACACAAAGAGAGUUAGUCUUGUAUACCUUAGAUGUGUGUAUUAAUAAUACUUUGAUUGGUACACUUUUUCAUGCCAUGUAUAAUUAAUGUUUGCAUUAGUUAUACACUCUAUUAUGUAUUACUAAUACCAAGGAAUUCUAGGUAUUAGUAAUACAUAACAUUUUAACACUUGCAUUAGAUUAAAUAAUUACAAAAACUACCCUUAAAGUCUUUUCAUUUUCUUUGUUGUCAUAAGUUUUUAUUUUAUGUUGAUUUGUUUUUUUAGUGUCUUUUAAUUUAUUGGUGUCUUAAUAGGCUUUAUGGCCUCUUAAGUAUCUUUAAAAAAAAUCUAAUUUAAUCAAAAAAUUUACUAUUGUGACGAUAAAUUUUAAGAAGCCCACUGCUUCACCCCAACUUAUUAACUCAAAAAAACAAAACUUAUUCUUUUUUCACAUCCGUUAUGCUUUUCUUAAUUAGUAGUACAUAAAUUCAUCCUUAAAAUAUGAUUAAAAAAAAUGAAGGUAGAAUUUUUUUGUUGUAAAAGAAUUUGAUCUUAGUUGAUUUAGUAAUAAUUAGAUGUGAACAAGUAAAUUACUAUCUUUUUCUUGAGUUGAUUGUAUUACUUUCCUGUAUUUUAUUAGUAUUUGAUGACAACCUAAAUGCUUUAUUUUAAAUGUAGACAAAAAAAUUCUUUGCCAAUUUUUUACGAAAAUAUUUUGACUCAAUAGUAUAACUAUUUAAUAUUAUUUUUGAAAAAAAAAGAAAAAGAAGAAUGAAGAGUUAAUGAUGCUUUAGCAAAUAAAUUUGUUGCAAAGGAAGUGUACAAAUAAAUAAAGUGUGAAGGGUAUUUUUGUAAACAUAUAUUUUUUAAUAGAAAUUAUGCAAGAUUUGUUAUUUUUAAUACAUCAAACCAAACAAUGUAUAAGAAACAAUACUUGCAUAACUAAUGCAAGCACUACUAAUGCAAGCAUUACUAAUGCACCCUAUUUUGCAUUAUUCUUAUACACUCUACCAAACGACCCCUUAAAAUUAUAUGGUCCUAAUGCAUGUUUUAGAUGUAAUGGAAGAAUGAACAACAUAAACAUCAAAAAUUCUUUUAUAUUACAUGAAUCAUUUCACUCAAAUAAAGCUUUACAAAGUUUGUCAACAAAUAGCUGAAAAACAUGAACUGUUAUCAUCAGCCGAAGAACACCAACUCAUCUCAUCUGGAUUCUGCAGUGGCGGAAUUCAAAUUUUAGAGCGUCUACGAGCAGCAUUGCGUCUUGCACAGCAUCCAACGAAGUAGAUCAUCGACUGACACAAGUAAGAAUCAGCAGUGGAUGAGAAUGAGUAGAAGUCAUAUGAACAAAUUCAAGUCAUCCGAAAAAUCACAGAGGCGGAGCUAGAUUAUUAGCUAUGAGUUCAGAUGAAUCCAAUAACUUUUGCUAAGACCCUAUUUUUGUGGAAAUCCAUUAAAUAAUGUAUAAAUAUGUAGUUGCCAAUUCUGUAACUAAGAAGAGUAUGGAUUCGGUGGAAAGUUUAGAACUCAUAAACUUCAAAUCUGAGCUCAUAAAUGUAACCGUACUUCUCCAACAAGAAACAAGAGUCAUUAUGCUCACUUUUUGAGAUCUUAAUUAGAAGAGUGAACUUACCAAAACGACAAAGAGAAUCACGUUGAAUAUAGCAACCACUCUCCAUUCAGUUUUCAUGUAUUGUGCAACACCAGCUCUGGAAGAAAAUAUAGUAGGAGAAAAGUUGUGAGCUGUAUAACCUUAUAUGAAGCGAAGAAUGACAAGACCAGAAGAUGACUCUUACUUGCAGGAAUCACAGCUAUAGCACUUGACGUUCUUCGAGUUUUUGUAAAGCUUGCAGUCCUUGCUUGAACUUGUCGGAUGAAAGCUCAAGUCAUAGUAUGAGGCGUUAACAGCAGGGUAACCACAUCUACAAAAGGAGCAGAGUAUAUGAGCAUAUUGAUCACGAAUCAUUUUAACACUUAUCUAUAACACAUCUUACUCUUUUUGUAAUUACUAAUUCACAAAGUGAGCUUUCACUUAAUUGUAAAAUAACUGCUAGAUGAUAUUAAUGUGUUCUCGGAGUAGUAUGAAACGAAAAUAUCUUGCAAAAGAAAGAAAAGGAAAAACAAACAAAUAAUAAUAACAAUAACUUACUCAGAUGGUGGUUUGCAGCAACCAGCUUCAAUAGGUGUUAGUUUUGCUAAUUUGUAUUGCUUGGCAGUCUGAAACAAAACAGCAGAAGCAUUAAUAGUAUGAUUUCACAGAUAUAAAUCAUGAACAGGUUCAAGUCGGAACAUGACCUUGUAUCGUUUUGAUAGGUUACUACAGUCAUCAGUCUUGACAAGACAGCUUUUCAGAUGCUUCCAGUUAUGGGUGUUAUUGAGCUGAAACAAAUGAGCAAAUGGUUAAUCAAUGCAUGAAAUUUUCAUCUUAAGGCAUCUGAAACAACUCCUAUAACGAUCAGGACAUGAUGCCUUUGCCCUAUAACCUGCGACUUAUUACUUCCUCCGUCCCAAUUUAUGUGGCACCAUUUGACUUGACAAGAAUUUUAAGAAAGAAAGAAAGGAAGAGUUGAAAAUUUGUGGUCCUGUGGCUAUAGAUAAUUUCAUUAAGAGUAAAAUGAAAUUUAAGUUAUAUUGUUUCAAAUUAAAGAAAUGUGACAUUCUUUUUAGGACGGGCUAAAAAGGAAAGUGUGUCACAUAAAUUGUGACAAAGGUAGUAUUUGCAUAUAAACAGGUGCUUACUUGUUUUAGAAACCACGAACUGUAGUCUUGAAGUUGAUACUCCUUGUACCUGCCCUCACAAAAACCAUUAGUGACCUCACUCUUCUAAGAAUAUCACAGAAGUAAAAGGAAAGAGGAAAACUGGAAAAACUUGUGACGAUCUCGAUGAAAUGUACAAGCACAAUCCAUGUCUGUGAGACACAUUGAGAACCAAAGUGAGACUGAGCAAGACGUGGGUCGAGAAAAAGAGUGGAUAAAGGGGAAAAUACUGAGGGAUGAAGUCAUGAAGAGAGGAGAUAUUGAGAUCACAGACAGUAUGACAGGUGAUUGUACCUUUGUCCAUUAACACUAUGACCUGAGCUGUUAUUCGUCACAAUGAACCUGUGACAAAGCAAACCAAAAUAAGUGUCACAGUAAUAUGUAGGUAUCAGCCAUUUCUGACAUCAGCAUGCACAUAGACACAGUAAUUGCCACCUUAUACCUGUUAACCCUGACACAACAGUAGUUGCCGUUUAAUGAAGGAUUAAAUAUGGCAAACAGUUUAGAGUUCCAUGUUCAAGACAGAUUGCAGAUAGAAUUAGUAAUGAAGUUAACUGAAAACCAAGCAGGACUUUUGCAUGCUUAGACUAUCACUUGCUAGCGUAGCUUUUGUCACUGUGUGAAAAAAAGAAAAGAAGGAAAAAGCAGAAGAAGAUUUGGUUGUGCAUUCCCCUUUGCAUUAAGUGGGCAGUAUGGCUGGAAAGAAAUUGUAGGUGCUUUAUCAUACGCCUUUUCAAGGUCACUGAACACCAUAUGUAAGUCUCUCUUCCUUUCCCUAUACUACUUCACCAGUCUCCUCACAAGAUGAAUGGCUUAAUCAACAUAUCUGACCAAUAUAAGAAAUUUGUCUCAUCAUUCAGACUAAAGAGGGGAGCAGCACCAUUACUUGGGUUGGUAUCGAUAAGUUGUGCCGUAACACUGGAACUUCCUAUAUGGUCCAGAAGGACUUAAGAAAGUUUUAUGCACUUUAGACGGAUGUAGGAUUACUACUUUACCUGAUGAAGUCUCAGCUGAGACAUUGUGCCUUGCCACACUAAACAUUGAAAAUCGUAUCAUGUUCCAGUAGAAUCAGAGGAGUCCUCACCCAGGGCUUUGGUUCAUUAGCAAAGGUAGUACGAUGCGGGAUUAGUGGUAAGCACAAGCAGUGAAUUCUAACCCUGUUGCGAACCAAAUCUGGUAUUAAAGAGAAGGGUAGAGGGGCGGAUUAUCAACAAGUUUUGGAGCUAGAAACAACCGGUCUCUUGGUUAUAAAAGAAUUCAAGCAGACCUAUGAACGUUACACCUAACGUUGCUACUUUAACUGCGAAGGCCUCUACCAAUUGCUGGUUAACAAGACCAAAGAACAAAAUACUUGAGAAAGAAUUCUCCUCUAUGAAAUAAUCAUCAUUUGUGUGUUUAACUCCAAAAUGAAAAAGGAAAUAGGCUUCAACCUGGCGGUACUAGGGUGCUUACCAAAUUUGAGCAAAUCUAUACACCAUUUGACUCUUUUUAAGCUAAUUUUAGUACAUCAAAAGUUGUACCCAAAAUCUAAGCACACUGCACACAGGGACAACGGAUCAGGAAUAAAGACACACACUAUGCUGGAACCUAUAGAACAACUAGUUAAGACUAUUCAUGAUAUUGUAUUUCUAUUCUUCCCUAAUCAAAGUAAUUUUCAGCCAAGGCGGUGAAAGCUUGAUUCACCAGCCUCCAAGAAGCAGAGUAGGUUCCAGUCAGGGGACCAACCCAGAGGCAAUGUCUUACGAUGCUGUAGCUAAUUAGCUAUUGAUAGAAUCCUAAAGAACCGUCAAUAAUACACCUCAUGGCUUGUAACUUGGAAAGCAUAAAACAAAUAAAACAAGCAGGAUGUUAAAUCAAACUAUAGGUACAUUCAUACAUGAUGAAGUAGACCAUAAACAUAGCAAUAACUAAAAUAUCUCGGUGGACUACAACUACAGUCACAAAUAUGGUAAUGCCUUUUAACUUCAUACUGAAAUCGCCUCCAUAAAACAGUACACAUGUAGUUAUCGUGUGCAUUGAUAAUUAACCAUAAACGUGUUGAUAAACAUUUGUUGUAACACAUCUUCAUUAUAAUUUAUUUGAUCUUGGGUAUUGCAAUACAGAGGCGAGAUAAAGGGGGAAAACGAAUGGCUGAUCUAUCAGCAAUAACAGAUAGAUAAUGCACCAAAUUUUUAAUGAAAUUCCAAGAAGCAUUACUUACGCUAAAACGGUGAAGACCAAUAUUGCCACCAAAAUUAAGCACAACAUGAUCAGAUACUGAAAUAUAAUGUUAAGGAGAAGCAACCAAAAAAGUUAUGCCAAUCAAAAAUAAGAAAAAAAAUUGCAUUUCAUGUGACAUUUGAUAAAGUGAGGAUACAAUCCACAACAAGAUGGAGUUGUUCUUCCAUGCUCCAAGAAACCCAACAAUUGAUCUGAAAAUCAUGGAAAGAAGAAUGAUUAUAACAAUAUACAUAAACAAACCUUGAGUGGUUAAAGGGUUAAGGGAAAAUUAAAUGAACAAGUGCGUUUUUAUGUGAAGGAAAACAUUUUCCAGAAACCUACACAAUAAAUAUAACUCCUCCAAGACCUAGAACAGGCAGAGUGAGAGACUUUCGACAGACAUCAUGAUGAGCGCUCAUCCAAAUCCCAAAACCUAUGACGCCCACAGCUAACAGCUGCAUUUUCAAGAUCCAAACGGAGUACAAAAACAGUUAAACACCACCGAAAUAGAAAAAUAAAUAAUAAACUUCCUGCUCUAAAUUAAGAACUAGAAAAACCUCAAUUUGAAAAACAAAAAGAUAGAGCAUGUGUUCAGUAAUGUUUUCCAGUUUUCCCAUGUUCGAUUGGUCAAAUAUUUUGAAAAACACUUUCUCUCCUUAACGAAAAUGACUUCUCUAAUGAAAAUAGGACAAACAAGUUCCUCUAGUUACAUUCCACAUUGAUUGUGUUCUCCACACCAGCCAACACGCCUCAUCGAAACACAUUUAUUUCCUACAAAACAUUUUUCAAGAAAAUAUUUUCCUUGAAAACAUUUCCUUCAUACCAAACAUACCUAGAAAGCAAAAUACUCUACCUCAGAUUGAAAACUAGUACAAAAGGAGGUAAAAAUUGGUUCUUUUCUUCUGAAACAACAAUUAAAUCAAGCUCAACUGAACAACUACAAUCACAUUGAACCAAAAGGAAUAGCAUUUAGAGUAAAUUGAAUCACUGAAACUAACAAGCAUCUAAGUAAAGUUGCCCAAUACAUCAAGAAACACAGACCCCAAACCAAUUUAGGGGUUCAUCUUUUCUACUCAAUGAAACAAAAACAAAA
rnacentral:lncRNA from 1 species